rnacentral:lncRNA from 1 species
CCAAGCCCGUGGAGAAGAAGCCCCUGGCGCCCGCGCCUCAGGCCGCCUCCGGUGACGCCCCGGCGCCCGAGCCCAAGAAGUUCCUGGGCUUUGAGCCCAUCACCUGGGCUAAGAUUCUGCCCCUGGGUGCCAUGUUCUUCUGCAUUCUGUUCAACUACACCAUUCUGCGUGACACCAAGGUGCGCGGCGGCGGACGAAGGGCCUCGGCGGGAUUUUCCUGUGCUGAUUGUUGGCGUUUUGUUCGGCCCCUCGCCGAAACCGGGCUUACGCGUUGUUUGCACUGCAGUUGAGCUCAUGUGCUGUCUUGCGCUACCUGUUUCCAGGACGUGCUGGUGGUGACUGCCCCCGGCUCGGGCGCUGAGAUCAUUCCCUUCCUGAAGACCUGGGUCAACCUGCCCAUGGCUAUCGGCUUCACCAUCAUGUACUCGGCGGUAAGCAUGCACCUUCAAUUUGCAGGCUGUCUUUGGUUGACGGUAAACUACGAUUCGCACUGCCGCUUCGACUUCGAUUGCCACACGAUUGAUUGUUGAUUACGCGCCGCCCCUUUGUCACUGCUUCUCAUGCGCAGCUGUCGAACCGCCUGUCCAGCGAGGCUCUGUUCUACACUUGCAUCAUCCCCUUCAUUGCCUUCUUCGGUGCCUUCGCCGCGCUCAUGUACCCCAUGCGCGAUGCUCUGCACCCCACUGGUGCGUGCUGGCUAUCUGGCUCGUUGAAACUGCAUGGCGCAAUGAUUUUUCUAAUCUACAAAUUUGGGAUGAUGGUCUUCAGAGUCUAGGGCUUCAGCUUAGCACGUGUCCGCGUCGUGGCCGUGCCUUCAGUCACAUACCCUUUCCCCGUGCACCACCUAACGGCUCCUGUCCCUGUUCCGUGUAUCACCCCCGCAGAGUUCUGCCAGAACCUGCUGGAGCAGAUGGGCCCUCGCUUCGCCGGCCCCAUUGCCAUUCUGCGCAACUGGACCUUCUGCCUGUUCUACGUGAUGGCCGAGCUGUGGGGCUCCGUCGUCGUGUCCGUGCUGUUCUGGGGCUUUGCCAACCAGAUCACCACCGUGGAGGAGGCCUCGCAGUUCUACCCCCUGUUCGGUCUGGGCGCCAACGUUGCCCUGAUCUUCUCGGGCCAGGCCGUGAAGUACUUCUCGCAGGUGUGUCAGUCUGCUUGGUGGGAGGAUUGCGUGGGCAUGUAAUGUGGACAGCACGGGUACUGAUUGCACGGGUAUAGUAGAAGUCCCGUUGGGGUCUACUUCAUGGCCCUGCGCAGGCGCACGAGUUUUGUGCUCGAGUUUUGUGCUAUGCAUAAUUGCGCAAGGCCGCUUGUUUCUGGAUGUGACCGUCGUGCCGCUUGUGCUGACCGGCCUCCUUUUGCCCCUCGCACCCUCAGGUCCGCGCCGGUCUGCCCCCGGAUGUUGAUGGCUGGGGUGUGUCCCUGAACGGCCUGAUGGGCAUGGUCGUCAUCGGCGGCCUGCUCAUUAUCGGCAUCUACUUCUCGCUGCAGCGCCUGGUGGUGCCCAAGCUGAAGUCGCUGCGCGAGGGCAAGAAGAAGAAGAACAAGACCAAGAUGAGCGUGGGCGAGUCCUUCGCCUUCCUGGCCCAGUCGAGCUACAUCCGCGACAUGGCCACCCUGGUGGUCGCCUACGGUAUCUCGAUCAACCUGGUCGAGGUGACCUGGAAGGGCAAGCUCAAGGCCCAGUUCCCCAACCCCAACGACUACUCGUCGUUCAUGGGCGAGUUCUCCACCGCCACCGGUACCGUGACCUUCACCAUGAUGAUCCUGUCCCGCUGGAUCUUCAAGCAGUUCGGCUGGGGUGUGGCUGCCCUGAUCACCCCCAUCAUGCUGCUGAUCACCGGUCUGCUGUUCUUCACCCUGGUGCUGGCCGGCGACACCGUCAAGCCCGCUCUGGCCGCCUGGGGCAUGACCCCCCUGUACGCCGCCGUGCUGGUCGGCGCCGCCCAGAACGUCUUCUCCAAGUCGUCCAAGUACUCCCUGUUCGACCCCUGCAAGGAGAUGGCCUACAUCCCCCUGGAGGACGAGGUCAAGACCAAGGGCAAGGCCGCCAUUGACGUGAUCUGCAACCCGCUGGGCAAGUCCGGCGGUGCCCUGAUCCAGCAGUUCAUGAUCAUCGGCCUGGGCUCGCUGGCCGCCUCGACCCCGUACCUGGGCGCCAUCCUGUGCGUCAUCAUCGUGGCCUGGAUCAACGCCGCCGCCUCGCUGAACAAGCAGUUCACGGCGCUGCAGGAGGAGACCGGCAUGUACAUCACCGGCGAGAAGCCCGCCAACAAGUCCGAGAAGAAGGACUAAGCGGCUCGGCCCUGACCGUGGUAGAGGGUCAGCCGUGACCAGACGCCCUGACGGGUCGGCCUGGGUGGUGGUGGUGUGUAGACGAGAGAGGUGAGAGAUCAGACGGCCUCGGCGGAGCUCGUGAAGAUUGGCCAUUGACGCAUUCAGUUGGUGCUGGAGACUCAUGACGAAGACACGGACUCAGGAGGACUGGUGGGCGCACUGCGGUCGGCACCCGGCGACGGCCUGUCUUGAGGAGUCGAGGGCGCGCGAUGGAGCAGCUGCAGCAGCGGGACGUAGUAGGGCACGUGCAUGCGCGACGCCGCGUGCGCGGUUUUAAGCUCUUGACUUGCGAGGGAGGGUGUGCUCUUGUUUUCCAUGGCCGGCGGGUAGAGAAAGACGCGUGUUUAUGACAUCUAUGGCAUGCGGCCCAGGGUCGGCUUGUGUGGCGUGCGAGACUUGGCUGGGACCAGUGCCGCCGGUUGCCAGCUGGCGGUGUUUGCCGACGGGGGCGCCGGCGGUCUGCCUAGACAGGCUCACGCUUGCAAAGCCCUACCCACCCGCUGGCAGUCUAUACAGAGAGCAGCAGGUUGGUGCCGUAGGUGCCAGAGCAAUUCAAAUUCUUUCUGAGAAACUCGAUUGGUCCGGCCUGAAUGAUUGCGGCCCAGCCCACCCUUGGAGAAGAACAAACGAUAGCCGGCGCAUUGUGCGCCGGGAUUGGACAUGGAUCAGGAGGAGCGGAACGGAAGGCGAGUGGACCAAAUUGGUUAACUUCACGCCUUACUUCACUGCAACGUGUCUCAGGGUUGGGGGUCCGAAAUAAGUGAGGGCCAAAAGCUCAGCGCGCGCCAAUCAGGUCAUUCACCGUGCGACAGGUCCCCCACCGUACGCCCUUCCCAUGCGGGGGGUCUGACGGUGGGUUACUCGUCUCCCUAGAGGCCAGAGUCCCCCGCGCUCACAGUCCCUCCAUUAAAGUAGUAUUGAACGUGCUUGCACCUCUAGUUCCUAUAGGCUGCCAAACAGGGCUGGCCGCGACGAAGAGCUGGGCAAGCUAGACCUGAGGCCUAAGCGUCUCGCACUAUCGACACGGCGUGGCAGUGGGCGUGUGAGCUCGGUUGUGAUGGGCGUGGCCGACUCCAGGGUGCCUCCAGGCAAGAUCGCGCAGUCCAUGGGGCGGCAGAGAGGAGCAGCAGGCCUGGACAGGCUGGCGAUGGUCACCCUGAAGUGCCCAGGCCGCACUGUCACCGACCUGCACCGACCGGAGACUGGUCGGGCUGCAGGAUGUUGUGGCCAACAGUAGAGGCCAUGUCAGGGUCAGCUACUGGUGCUGCUCAACGCAGCGUAGCCAGCGCGUCGCGGAGGCGACGCUUGAGAAGCUGUCGGACCUGCAGGUGGAGCAGUAGUAGGGUUCGAGUGGCUGCGCAGGUGGAGUGUUGAGUGGCAGUGACCACGAUGGCGGUGUUUACCCAAGGUGCAGGGUUCAGGGUUUCGGAGGUGCAGGUUCAGCAGGUGCAGGUGCAGGUUCAGGCCGUUGUUCAGCGGGGUUCAGCGUUGGCCGGCCGUUUUUCAGCGUUGACCGGCCGUUGUUCAGCGUUGACCGGCCGUCCUGUGUAAGGCUCACCUGUCAGGCAGAGUUUGGCGCGCAGGUUUUUGGGGUGGUUGUGGGAGGGCGGCGGAGGCCUCACACCCCAAGACAACAACCUCCGCUGCCGUCUGCACUCGCAUUCGCAAACCAGCAUUUCAAUCAAGUGGUCUGAGCGGAGCGUCUGUCUCUUCGUCCUGCCACCCUCGGAAAAUGGCGCAUCGGAUGUCCUAGGUGUAUGGCACACAUCCUUCUCACAGUUUACAAGUUGCCUCAUCAUAGGAAUCCACGGCGGCGCCCGUGAGCGCCGUCUGUCUCCGCGCGCGAUCUUGCCCUUGGCGGCCUCAAACCUUCAAUCCAGCGUGCUGUUGCUGUGCCUGACCUAUGGUACAGCAGCACGAUGUUGGUAGAUCAUCACCAUGCUAGUACACUGCCGUCCUCGCACGCCGCACACACUGCACCACACUACCGUACUGCCCUGCCUGCACUCAAUCCACACACAUCAUUCCACAGGCGCCGCCGCCUGCCUACCUACACCUUGAGCGAGCCCCUGCUGCCAGUGUUGUUGCUGGGGCCGUUGCCCUUGCGCAGGAACGUCCCCGAGUGCUUGGUGGUGGUAAGCGGCUGCUGCUCCGAGCGCUUGCCCCACGGCCGCACCUCGCUCAGCACCUUGGCCAGCGCCUCAUCCACCACUGCACCCCCCGCCCCACCGCCAGUGCCGCCGCCAAUCACGCCCGCGCCGCCCAGCAUGCCGCCGCCCGGCAUCACGUCCCCCGUAGACACGCUGUAGCCCGGCACGCCCGGCCCUGGCGACAUGCCCGCCAUCACGCUGCUGCUCACACCUACGCCGCCGUACCCCAGCCCGUACCCCAACCCGCCCAGACUCGACACGCCGUCCAGGCCGCCGCCAGCCCCUGCUGCUGCUGCUGCUGCCCCUGACGUGGCGCCCAGCCCCUGCGGCCCGCCCAUGCCGCCCGCCGAGCCGUCCUGCUCGCGCGUGGGCAGCCGUCCUAGCCGCGAGCCGCCUGGACUGCCUGGCCCCCACUCGCCCGCCAACGCUGACCCCAUGCCGCCCGCCGACAGAGGCGCCGGCGAGCUCUGCGACAGCGGGCCGUGCGACAGCCCUGUGGCGUACUGGCGCCGGUUGAAGGAGGGGAUGGGUGGCAGCGUCACGCCGCUGGCAGACGCAUCGGCGCCGCCGCGGCCGCCCCCGCCGCCGUCCCCUGCGCCGCCACCGCCUCCUUGCCCGCCCAGCCCCAGCGGCCCCAGUCCCAGUCCGCGCUGCGCGCUGAACACGUGCAGCCGCUCCAGCAGCCAGCCCAGCACUCGCUCGCGCUGCUCCGGACUCAACUCGUCCAGCCGCCCGGGCAGCACCGUGAUGUCACCGCCGCCAGCAGCCGAGGAGGAGGCGCCGGGCGGUGUGGGUGAGCCGGAGCGGCUGCCGCCUGCCGCGUCUGCCCCCGCCAGCGGCGGCAGGCGCUCAUCACUUGAUGUAUUGUUGGUGGUGGUAGUGCGCACCACUGUGACCACCUUGUCCCGCACGUCCGCCAUGCAGGCCAGCAGGAAGCGGGCGGUGUCGUCAUAGCCCGAGGUCAGCGCCGCGGCCUCCGCGGUCUUGGACUCCAGCCGCUCGCGCAGCUGUGCAGGCAGCGGAGGGAGGACAGGCGUUAGGCAUCAGGUGUGGGUAUGUGUGAGGGACGGGGAGGCGGGCCGCGGUCAGAGGCUUGAAAUAGGGGAGGGGCUGCAUAACAAAGUGUUUGCACCGCACUGCGCUGCCCAGGGCCCCACGAGCGUUCAAACCGCCGCAUCCUGCACCCCCCAAACUCUGCUCCCUUGUUUACGGGUGUGAAUCUGUGCGAUCAGCACUCAUAUACCUGAGCCUAACGGCGGGGAGUACUGGACCCCACCGGGUCAGCGCUUUUCGCUCACGUCGCUUACGAUACCAUUCAACAACCCUCUCCCUCCCCCUCCCCCUCCUCACCGCGUCCGCCUCCGCGCUCUUCUCCUCCAGCUGCAGCUGCGCCAGGUGCAGGUGCGCGGCCAGGUCGCCCAGCCGGCCGUCCAGCGCCCCCAGCACCUCCUCGCUCUCCGCGGCCUGGUAGCCCUGGUCCUGCAGCUUGGACAGCUGCGCACGUGGAGACGGAUGGGGAGGGAUUACUGCGGCUGGGGAAUCUACAACACGGUACGGUAGUGUGGAAUCGAGUCACGCACACACCUCACGUCGUUCAGUCCGCCCACUGCCCCCGCCCCUCUCCAGCCUGCCCGCCUCACCAGUGUCUUGAUGGUCUUCUGGUACAGGUUGUUCCUCCGGGCCAGCUCCUCCUCCGUCUGCUUGCUCAGCUCCAGCUGCCGCCGCAGCUCCGCGUUCUCCUCCAUCAGCCUGGGGGGAGAGGAGGGGUGGUGAGACGGGGCCACGGGGGUGAGACCGGGAUAGCGAUAUGGCGGUACGGCGGUCCGAGCGGAUUUAGUCUGUCCAUGUACCUGCCAAAACCAUGCCCCGCAACACCCUGGCCCACUCCUCAAUGAUCCCCCCACCCGUCCCACCUCAGCUGGGCUGGUAUCUACAACCCCCAACCCCCACCCCGGCGCCCACCCGCCCCCCGCCGCCCCUCGCACUUGUUGUUCUUGUUGAGCAGCUUCUCCGUCUGCCUGCUUUGGUAGCUGAGCUCGAUGGACAUCUGCUCGUUCUCCAUGAUUGUCCUCUUGGUGGUCAUCUCCAACUGGUUGUCCGUCAGCUUCAUCAUCUGCAGCUUGGUCUCCUUGAUGCGGCCCGCCAUCUCGCGCUUCCACUUCUCGCGGUCCUGGAUGUGUUGCCGGUCGAUGUCGCUGUGGUGGGGUGUGUAUGUUACGGGUGGGGGAAGGGAGGAGAGUGCGGAGGAGGGUGAGGAAGAGGGUGAGGAGGAGGGUGAGGAGGAUUUGGACAGGGACAGGCCUGCACCACCACCACCGGCAGUCCGCCACCGCCACUCACGUCAGCUGCUGCUCAAAGUCCUUGGUCUUCCGCGCCAGGGUCUCCUUCAGACUCUGUGCGGUCGUGUGCAAGAGGGGCAGUGGUCGACAGGGCGAGAGCUCAGUCCCCGUACCUUCUUGUGGCUCGCACGUGUCAUAUGGGGCCAUCCUAUCAGCACCCCCCUCCCUGACCCUCCCCGGCCCCGCCUUUCCGCCGGCGUCCACUUCAAUGACUGCUAACCCCCCCCUCCCACCUGCAUCUCCGCCUCCAGCGCCUCCUUCUUGUCCAGGAACUCCUGCGUGAUGCGCGCCUUGCGCUCGUGCUCGCGGACCACGCCCUCCAGCCGCUCAAGCUCCCGGUCCUUGUCGCCGCGAAGACGGGCCAGAGAGGCCUGAUGAGGCGAAGGAGGAGGGGGGCCGGCAGGCAGGCGUUAGAAAGUCGAGCGGGAAGAGGCGGGAAGGGGCUAGGGAGGGUGGAAAAGGCGGCACGGCCUAUGACGGGGGGGGGGGGGAUCAUUCAUGAUAAGCUAAGAAAAUGAUGGGGGGGCAGGCGCUCAAGGGACAAGAAUCAGUUGAAAUAUGAAUAUUUGCCCUUCAACCACUUCUACAUGCCAAGCCCUGUGCCGUAUCCGCCCCUCGUCACGUCAUCACUCCCCUUUUCCGCCCUUCGUGUUUUCCCCUGCCCCCCUAUUUCCUUCUGCUCUGGUCCCCUCCCCAGCUCUCUUCUCCCCCUACCUCGUGGCUCUUCUUGACUUCGUCCAUCAGCCCAUUCAGCUCCGCCACCUUGGACUCCAGGGCAGACGUGGUCAGAGAGCGAGCCUGGCAGGGAGCACAGCAGGAGCGGGUGGCGCGAGCGGGUAGGCGGGGCGGGUGGGUGGGCGGGUAGGAUACCGAUACCGGUAUUCGAUUCCUAGGAUGGGAGACGGACCAGGCGGUCACUUGUGUCUUGUCAGGUGUGUGAGAUGUCCAAACGCUGACCGUGGUAACAGCUGGCUAUACAUAGAGCGCCACCACCCAGCCGUGCCGUGCCAAGCAGCCCCCCUCAAACGUGUCCGAACACCCGCGGCAGCUUGCGGCCGAGUAACACCUUGUCCUGCCCCUCCCAUUCCCACCACCGACUGUCCAACUCACCACUGCUCACAGCCUCACACUCAUACCUAAUCUUCAACCCCUCCCUCCGCCUAUCAACGCCCUCUUUCCCGCGCCGUCCUGCGCGCCCGCUGGGGGCCUCUCUCGCUACUGCCCUCCUCCCCACCUUGAGCUCGUUGGUGAGGAACUCGUUGAUGUCCCUCAGGUUGAGCUUCUGCGUCUCCAGCUCGUCCGUCAGCCGCACCACAUCCACCUGCAGCCGGUCGCCGUGAUCCUGGUACCUGUGAAAGGCGGAUGGGUGGGGGUUGUUAAGGUUGUUGGGGGCGGGGGGCUGGGGAAUUACGGAUGCGUGGACAAGCGGGAUGCGCGUAAGGUCGCUGGCGUGCGCGUGCCAGCCGGCGGGCGGGCAGUUCCGCUCCAGGUGCUUCAAAAGGCCGAGUGCGGCCCUGGGCGCGGAGGCAUUGCGCGGGCACGCUGGCACGAGAAGGCGCACCAGCCCGCAGCACCCUCGCACAAAUGCACCCUUCCGAUUUACCCCUGCAACCCCUUCGGCUCGGCCACGGCAACCUUGGCUCAUGUGGGCCAGCGUAAGUUCAUUAGCCGGCAGUUGCCGUCGCGACCGGCCAUGCUUAGGGCAUGCGCAUCGCAAGUGCGGUCGCACCCUGAGUCUAUUAUGCUGUGCGACAAGAGUUUUAGCGCAUGGAAUCUCAGGCGCACAAACCUAUUGAGCUUGGAGCGCAGGUAGCCAAUAACGAGCUCCUUCUCCACCAGCUCCCGCUCCUCCUCCUCUUCUGCCUUUUUAGCAUCAUCCUUGCCAGCAUCCUUCUUCUUGUCAUCCUUCUUUUUGGGCGGCAUUUCGGCUACGCGAGCUCAAAUGAGCCCGCACACCGCGCGACACAAGAUAUAAGAGCGCUUAUUCGCUUGUGUGGUAAUAAGGCAAAGGGCAGCCGUUCAAUGUAGUCCAGGCCGCGUAGCUUAAAGUUUGGUUAUGGAGACUUCGAGGUCGUCAACUGCGCAGCCUUGAGGUCGUCGUUCAGUGUUACUAAAUCUUGCACAGUGUAUGUGAAUGAAGGCAAAUGUUGGGGUCGAUGAAUCCCUACAAGCGGCAAUCCCGCUUCCGCCCGCGGUUUGAUGUCUACCCCCGCCCACGCACGCGCCCACGCCCACCCGCCCUUCCCCAGUCGGGAACCCCUCUUGUACUUGUGUAGACUUCCACGCCAGCAAGUGCCUACAGCAAAUGUGUCUGAAUACAACACCCUGCAAGUGUAACUGCACAUGUGGCUGGCUUGCAGUCAAGGUAUCGUCGUCAAGAUCACGCCACCGUAGGACGCCAGACCAGUCCUUCACAGCCCCCGUCGCCUGUUGCUCACUUGAUCAGGCGUGUCAAUGGACCCCGUACACAUACAUGGCGCGCACACGACCUGCAACAUGCGCCAUGCCCGAGGGUCAGAGCCGCCACAUUGCCACCGUUGGCCUUGCCAACUUGUGUCAGGUAGCCACGGCCUGAAAUGCUGAGAUCCCAACACGCGUACUACGGCUACACGGCGCGCUGACAAUUGAUGUAGCAAUGCGCUGGGAAUCUCCGCUCUUGUAAGCCCGCAACCUUGCAACACCUUAUCACUCCUUCCUACGGUACUCCUUUGACUACAUCCUGAAGCACACGGCACGCUGGCCCCUGUCACUCCCUAUCGCCUUGGCCACCGUCUCAGUCCAGGAUGCGCAUGGCCUCGUGAAGCACGUUCCGCACCUCGCGCACCACACCCCGCACACCACCCACAGUGCCGCCGCCGCCGCCACUGCCGCGGCCGCCGCCACUGCCAUGCUCGGCCGCCGCCACCUGCUCCGCCUCCAAGUCACCGGGGGGUCCGGCCGGCGCGGCGGCCUGCACCUCCCGGUCCUUGCCCACCACCACACCGGGUCCAGCGCCCUGCUGCUUCUGGUGAGCGCGCGCAGUGGUGCCAACAGCCGGCGCCGCCGCCGCCGCCUCUUCGCCAGCUGUCCCCUCCGUGGCGCCCACAGCCUGCAGCAGGCGGGGCAGGCGGGGCGCAGCAGGCGGUUACCCCCGAGCACAUGGGCAGCGACGAGACAUGGGGAGGACGAAGGCGCCCGUGACAAGGCGAGAGACGGUGGCCCUCAUGAUGACACGGGAAUCGUGUCACCAAGUCCCGCCUCUCCCCCCGCACCCACUCACCCAGCACGCGGCGUCCAGUGCCGCCGCCGCCGCCUGCAGCGCCGCGCCCUCCACCACGUGGGCCGCGCCCGUCAGCCGCAGGCGCAGCGCCGCCGCGGUGGCGGUGGCAGUGGCGGACAAGGAGGACAGGGAAGACAGGGAGGAGGGGGCCUGCAGCGCGGAUGGAGGAGAGCGCAGUCGCAAUGUGGUACAUUCGUGGAUACAUUAGAGUAAUGAGAAACUUCAACGAGUAUAAACUCUAAGUGCAGCAUGGUAGUAGUGAGAAGCUGCACAAGGGUGACAAGACUGAGGUCGGUGGCAAGGUGGGUGGGUGGGUGGGUUACAUGCGGGGGCAUUUUACUGUAAUGGGUGCACUUGCAGCCGACAGCCCCCACACGUGCAGUCGCAGCCUCACGCUCUGUAGCCCAGUGCCAAGGGCAGCACCACGCCUACACACGCACGAUACUACUAUGCGCUGCACACAAGAGGGGUCGUCAGAACAAUAGAGACUCGCCUGGUCUGUCACACCAUUUCUGCCGCCGCCGCCGCCGCCGCCACUAGUGGGGAGGCACUGCGACGGCUCCUGCUGCAGGUCCGCCACCGCGUGCGAGGCCGGUCCGCUGAGGCCCGCUGGUGCAGCGGCUGUAGCAGGCGUGGGAACAAUGGCUGUAGCAGUCUCACUCCCCAUCGCCGCCGCCGCCUGCUGCUCCAGCGGCUGCUCCUGGUGCCGCCUGCUGCCGCCGCCGCCAGGCACCAGUCGGCCCAGGACCGCCGCCACCAGCCGCCGCACCGCCGGGUCGCCCGCCGGGUCGCCGCCACCACCAGGCUGCUGCUGCUGCGGCUGCUGCUGCUGCUGCUGCUGCCGGUACUGGGGCUGGGGCUGGGGUACACCACCCCCUCCACCGCCCCCACCUCCACCGCCCCCACCUCCGCUGCUCAGCUGCCGCUCGUAGGCAGCUGUGUCGUCCUCCCGCGCGGCGCGGGCGGCGGCCAGCACCUCGCCUGUGAGGGGGGGGGGGGCCGGCAGGCAGGCAGGGCGGGCAGCUGCAUGGAGCUAGGGUGGUUGGGGAGUGGACGGCCCGGCUGUGCCGGUGUGUGCAGAGGUAGGGGCUCUUAGAACAUACAUGCAUCCUGCCGUUCCGCUUCCACACAUGUGCAGCACACAGGACCAUGUGCGCUGCAACCGCCCGCAGGCCCGUCCUCCCCACCUGUGCGCGGCGCGGGCGCGGGCGCCGGGAUAGCAGCCGCCCCGACCGCCUCCGCCCGGCCCCGCUGCCCGCCCUCCUCGCCGCCGCCUGCCACCGCCUCCUGUGUUGGGCCCGGCGGCGGCACCGCUGUGGCGGUAGUGGCGGGCGGGACGGCGGAUGAGGAGUUGCGGCGCAGUGCGGCCAUGGCCUCACCCAGCUGCAGAACCUGGGGGGGGUGGAUUGGGGGGCCAGGGGGGGGCGGGCGGUUGGGGCGGUGCAUGCGUGAGAACUGGUAUUACAGGUGCAGGUGCAGCACACCAGUGGUUGUGUCACUUAAGCCGGCGCACAACCUGGACACAAUCAUCAUUAGAACGUCGAUGGGGGGGGCUGUGCGUGUUCAGGGGUACACGGGGGACGUUCGGGACAGUCGUUGCGGAUGGAUGGGAGAGGACAGUACGUGCGGGAUGUGUGCGGCAGGCACGGUAAUUGAUGGGGGCGCCUUAAAAGACAGAUGAGCCAGUGCGGACCGGAGGAGGGAGCGAUUGGACUUGCUGUUCGCGCGACUGAAGAGGGAGGGAUAGGCGAAACAGGGGAAAUUGGUAACGGUAUGGAGGGUCGGAGAACUUGGUCGGGCGGGGAACAUAGUGGGAGGAGUGGGAGAAGUGUCCGUGUGUUCGUGGGGGGGCGGGAACGUCGCCCGUCGGGACUGCGCAAGUUCAGAAAAGACAGAAUGGAAGGUUCCCGACGAGGCCGCAUGGGCCGGGGGGGGUAGCCAUCCAUGGGAUGGUGUGUAUCAAAUAUGAAGUGAAGUGCCGACGUCCAGAGGUACAGCGGGCACACGCGACGCAUUCCAUACCGUUGUUUCGCCAGCGGCAGGCUGCUGGCUCCCCCGUGUUUCCGGGGGGUGGGGGGUGUUCAGUCAGCACACUGCCGGGCUCAGCUAGCAGGCCGGCCCUAUGCCCAAGGUGCCCUGGUGUGCACAUCCCGCAACACCUGUCUUCCGCCCCUCGGCGCACACACACAUAGGUCCGGCCGCACCCCGCCCGCCUGAGCCAUGACCCGGCCAGGUCCCGGCCCCGCACCGCCGCACCGUCGCACCGCGCGGCGCGCGGCACCGCGCAGCGCCGCUGGGGUCGCUUCCGAGGCUGUCUGCCCCUGCUUGCGCCGCGGGGAGACAGCCACCCACCCGCCCGCCCCAUCACCCUCACCUCCUCCUGUGUGGCGGGCUCCCUCAUGCCGGGCACAGUGGCCGCCGCCUCCGCCGCCGCCGCCGCCGCCAAGUGCCGCUGGGCGGACAGGUAGAGGGCGGUGUCGUCCCGCGCCGCGGCCAGGGCGGCAGCCAGCACCGCGUCUGUGUGCGGGGGCGCGGAUUCAUGGGAGUUGAGUCUGGUGGGUAUGGGGUCGGCUUGCGUGAAGGGCAGAUGAAGGGCAGACAGUGGGCGGUAAGGGACUGACGGGACAUCUGUUCACGUGCGGCACGGAUGGGAAAGGUGGUGCAAGGGACGUGCUGCAGGCCGACUACGGGGAAGGAGGAAGGAGAAAAGUCCCAACCGACCCACAUCCAGCUUCCACCCACAAGGCCGUAACUCACCGGCCUCCGGCGCCUCUGCCUCCUCAUCCACCGAAGCGGCGUCCUCGGCGCCAGUUUGCAUCAUGUGUGCGGCUGCUUGGUCCUGCUGCUGGUGGUGCUGCUCCUGGUGCUGGUGGUGCUGGUGCUCGUGCUGGUGGUGCUGGUGGUGCUGGUGGCGUUGGCGCUGUGCGGUCAGGGCCUGGUCCAAUUCCCGCACCUGGCCAAGUGGGCGCGUGUGUGGGCGUGUGUGUGGGGGGGUGGGGGCGUGUGUAAGUGUAAGUGUGUGUAUGGGCGGCACACAGGUGUGCGGGUACGUCAUCCCGGCGGGGUACGGACCCGCCAGCAAAGGGCACACGGCCUGGCCCGACCCACCAACCAGUGAAGGCUGUGCAUGCAGGGGUGGUGCGUGGGGCGGGGAGACACCCCCUGGAGACACGACCACAUAUCAUCGCCCCGUGCCCCAAACCGCCUGCCUCCCAUCGCCACACCUCCUCAGUGGACGCCCGCUCCUGCAGGUCCGGCACCGGCGCAGCAGCGAGGCCGCCGGCAGCAGUAGCACCGGCACUAGCACCAGCGGCAGCAGCACCAGACUCCUCCUCUGCAGGUAGCACACCGGCAGCAUUGGCAGGGGAGGAGCCGGCAGCGGGGGCGGCAGCAGCGGGAGCUGCCGCGGGGGUGGUGGUGGUGGGCGGUGCAACGAGUGGUGUGGCGAGUGGUGUGGUGGGUGGAUGCAUCAGUGUCCAGCCCUCCCCGCCGCGGCGACGACACGCACCCGUGUCGCCACGGCCCUCGCUGCUGCCGCGGCCCGGCCCCUCCUGUUUGGCCCCCAUCUCCCCCUCCUCCCGCUCCUGCUCCUCCUCCUCCUCCGCCUGCUGCUCCCCCUGUUGGAAGUGGUGCUGCGCCAUUUGCCGCUGCUGGUCGGCGGCAGCCGCCACAUCCUCCGCCGGGGCCAGGGCGCCGCCUCUGUCACUGCCCCCGCGGCCACCGCCGGCCUGCUGCCACCCCUUGAGCGCCUCCCGCACUCCCGACUGCUGCUUGGCGCCGCCUCCCCCCCGCUGCUGCUCUCCUUGCUGCUCCUGCUGCUCCUGCUGCUCCUCUUGCUGCUCCUGCUUCUUCCUCUGUGCCGCGGCGUACCUCUGUGCCAGCGCCAGCUGCUGCGGCAGACUGAAGGAGCCCUCCAUGCCGCCGCCUGAGGCGCUCGGCCGCUUCGGCAGCUCACCAGCCUCGGCCUCGUAGCCGUCUGCGACAAAUGCCGGGUCCCAGUCCUCCUCGUCCUCGUGCGGCCCUCCCGGCUGCUCCCCGGGCUGCUCCCCCAGUUGCUGCCGGGCCACUGGCGGGUGGCUGCUGGGCUCUGGCAGGGCACGCUCUCCGGUGUCCAGGGGGAGCGGGGCCAUGUCGGCGCUCGGGCCGAGGUCGGCGCCCGAGAGCUGAGGCUGCUCGUCGUAGCGCAGGUGCGGGCUAGGGUGCGGGUGCGGCAUUGUUGCUUCUGAUGGUGCAGAAGAGUGUGAAUGGGUGUGCGGAUUAUGAUGCACUCUUAAUAGCUGGUGGCUUUGUUGGGCGUUUGGCCCUGAAGGGCGCUCGAAGGAUGGAGCCGGCCAGUCCCGUGACGCACCAGGACCCGCGGGGCCCAAACGGCGGCGUCUUGCAUUUCCAUUCACGCUUACAUUUCUCUGUUACUGUUACACGCUUGCUGUGCAUUUGUCGUUGUCCUACAUCCAUUGAUUCUACCUACCACAAUGCACGCUAUCGCUCACGCCGCCCUCUUCCGACCUUGCCUAGACCUCUGACCCCUGACCUGCCCCUCUCCCGACCUGGGCCCGCUACCUGCCCCCGCUGCUGCUUGCCCUCCGCAGCCUCAGCCAGGCCUCCCCCAGCAGCUCAUGCUCCGCCCGCUCCGUCAGCGCCCGACUCAGCUCCACCUGCCGCACAAAGGCACGCAGCCAGCUGGCACUGCCCCCACUGCUACUGCCACUGCCUCCACUGCCCCCACUGCUACUGCUACUGCUCCCACUGCUACUGCCACUGCCGGCCCCCCUGGGCAGCGACACGCCCAGCCGCACCAGCGCCACACACAGGUCGGCGCACUCGCGGGCGCCCAGGCUGCCCACGUCAGCCUCCACACCCUGCGGCCCGAGGCGGAGGCGGAGGGGGGGAUUACAAGGAUAUUUGGAAAAGCGGUACAGGAUGCACUGAAGACUGCAGACGAGGGGAGGGGGGAGGGGUUGUAGAUACCAGCCCAAACUAAAUCAAACCCAAUGCAAUAGGGGGGAGGGGGAGGCGAAGACGAGGGGUGGAGAGGGGCGAGGGGUGAGGUUGCAGGAUUCGGGAGGAGCAAUGGAGCACCGGGCGCGGGUAGGGGCACCAGAGUGUGGGCGGAGCGGGGCGGGCGGGGUAAGGGAAAGGGAAGAGGUCAUACCGUAUUUGCCCUGAACCAUCAGACAGACCCCUCUCGCAGCGCACACACGCGCACACACACACAUACGCACACACACCUGCAUGAGCAGCCGCAUCCACCUCUGCGGCGGCGGCUGCGGCGGCGGGUGUCGCGCCAGGCUGUAGGCCAGCCCCACCAGUUGGGCCGCCGGCAGCAGCGGCCGCGACAGAGGCAGUGGUGACAGCGGCGACAGCGGCUGGGCGCGACCGGCGGCAGAGCUGCGCGCCCCCGCCUUAGCCGCCCCCGCCUCCGGCCCGGAGUCACCCGCCGUCGUGCUGUCGAUAGCCAGCCGCUGCCGCUGCCCCGCGCCCCUGUGCCUGUGCUGAGCACCGGCGCCGACAGCGCCCGCCCGGCCCGCCGCUGCCCGCUCCGCCGCCACCGCCGCCUGCUGCAUGCGCAGCUGCAUGGUCCGGAAGGUGGAGCGGUACACGGCCAGCCACAGAGCCGCAGGCAGCGGCACACACACGGAGGAGGCCGAGGAGGAGGAGGAGGAGGAGGCGGAGGUGGCGGAGGAGGAGGAGGUGGAGGGGAAGGCAGGGGCCGAAGCCUCCAUGCCCACCCCCGGCUGCGCCAGCGGCAGCAGUCGGUCCAGCAGGCGGCACACGGCGGGCAGCGCGGGCGGCGGCGGCGGCGGUGCGCCGGGCCGUGGCGGCGGCGGCAGCAGCCAGCGAGCCGCGGCGUCGUAGGCGGCAGGCAGCAGGCGCUCCUGUGCAGGAUUGGGGGAGACGAGGGGAAGGGCCGGAGGGUGGGCGGGGUGACGGACCGAGCAGCCCAGCAUUGAAACUCGCAACCGAGACCGCCGGACAUACCUGAUGCAGCGCACGGAACUGACAUGGCACCCAAAGGCGUGCAUCGCGGUCCCAUACCGUACACACUGCACCCACCUUGACAUCGGCCUGCACCCAGCCCGCCCGGCCGUCUGCUACAGCCGCCAGUCGGCCCAGCUCCGGCAGUAGCUCCGCCGCCAGCACCUCACAGCCCGGCCCCGCCGCCGCUGCCAGCUGCAGCUUGCACGUCAGCGCCGCCGCCAGCGCCGCCCGCCACUCCCCAGCCGCACGCCGCACCUCCGCAGCCUCUGCUGCCUCUGCACUCGAUGAGGAGCCCUCAGGCAGCUCCGGCAGGACCGCCGCCACCGCCGCCGCCAGCCGCACCAGCUGAGCCGCCUCCGCCGCCGCGGCCGCAGCCGCCGCCUCGGCGUCGGCCGCCGCCGCGGCCACGGCGGAGGCGUGUGCGCGCCGUGCGCCGCGGCGGCUGGUGGCGGCGUCAGCAGCUGCCGCCGCCGCCUGGCCGCUGGCGGCAGUGGCCAUGGCGGCGGUGCGGGCCCUGCUGCUGCGAGCCAUGUCUGCGGCGGCGGCGGCGCUGUGCCGCAGCAGUGCCGCCAGCAGCUCCGGCCGCACCGCCGCCUGCUGCGGCUGCCCUUCCUCCCCCUGCUGCUGCCGCCGCCGCCGCCGUGCCAGCCGCCUCAGCGCCUGCAGUAAUGUGGCGACCUCAUCCAGCGACAGCGACAGCGACAACGACAGCGACAGCAGCUGCGACCGACCGCCCGCCGCCGCCGCGCCAGCUGCUGCUGCUGCCGACAUCAGCCUGAGCCGCAGCAGUGACUGCAGUGCCGCCGCCAGCCGGCCCCUCACCGGCACCUGCACCUGCACGGGCACCUGCUGCCCCCCCGCCUGUGCCUUCCCCAGUGGCCCCAGUGGCCCCAGUGGCCCCAGUGGCCCCAUGUGGGACAGCUCCACCGCCAGGUACACCAGACACCUGGCGGAGGGGGGGGCGGCCGUGCUGGCCGUGCUGGGCGGCGCGCGGGCAGGCACUGCCGCCUCCGCCUGCGCCUCCCCCUCUGCCGCCAGCAGCUGCUGCUCCAGCCGUUGCAUCAGCGGCACCGCCAGCGAGGGCGGCGGCGGCAUGUGCAGUCGCCGUAGGCCUGCGGUGGCAGGGGCAGUGGCAGUGGGAGGGGCAGAGGUGUAAGUGGGGUGGUCAAGGGGAAGAGCUGCGAGCUCUUGCGUUUAUAUGACAUCAGCACGUCACCUUCUUCGCCUUCGCCAUCCUCCGGGGGACUGCGCCAAACACUCCACAGUUGGAGUGUGCGUCCCUUUCUAUAGUAACGGGAUUCCCGCCCCAGCCCAGGCCCAAGAGCCGCAGCCACCCACCUGACAGGUAGACGCACACGUCCUGAAGCGGCAGCGCCACCGCGGCAGCCCCCGCCCGUGUCUGCGCCUGUGGCGCACCCGCCGCUGCUGCUGCCGCCGCCGCUAGCCGCUGCUGCGCCCUCAGCACCUGGCGGCCCGCCCCCCACAGCACUCGCCGCAGAGGUGCAGCGGCAGUGCCCAGGGGUCCCCGCGCCGUGCCUGCGCCCCGAGGCCCCCGCGCCACCGCCUUGGCGACGCCGCCGCCGGCCGCUGCCACGGACGAAGAGGACGAGGACGAAGGCGAAGACGGGGACGAAGACGGGGACGGGGACGGGCGCCUAGCCAGCCGCAGCCGGCGCCUGAGCGGAUCGCCUCGCAGCCGCAGUGGUCGGCUGCCGGCCGCUGCCGCCGAAUGCGACUGCGACUGAGGCGGCGGCGGCGGCGGCUCACAGGGGUCUGCCAGCCAGGCCGCCGCUGACGUCAGCGCCGCCAGCUGCCGCACCACCUCCCGCAGCGCGGCGGCCUCCCUAACGGCCUGGUUAGGCAGCGCCCGGAGGCCGCCGCCGCCGCCGCCGCCGCCGUCACCGCCGCCGUCAGUCCGGCCCAAGUCAUGCAGCUGCCUGCCUAGCUGCGCCGCCGCCGGCGCCACCAGCUGCGCCGCCAGCCGCCGCCGCAGCGACGCUGGCAGCUGGCCCGGCCCCGCCAGCCUCAGCCCCCGCAGCGCGACCAGCAGCUGCACCGCGGUGCGCGCUGGCAGCAGCGGCGGCGGCACGGCAGUAGCGGCAGUGGCGGCGCCCGAAGAGGCGGUGGCCGGCGGCGGCGCCUCCACCAGCCGCUGCACCGCCCGCCGCACUCGCGCCGACAGGCCUCGCAGUGCUGACGGCCGUAGCACAGCCCGCCGCCGCCGACCCGGCCGGGCCCCCACCCGGCCCGCUGCUACUGCCGCCGCCUCGCCAGACCCGUCGACGCCGCCGGGGGUGCCCGGGCCGCCCAGGCGCACGCCCAGCCGCGCCAUGGCCCACAGCAUCUGACUCAGCCUGUCGGGGCUCAGUCCGCACAGCCGCCGCCGCGCCGCCGCCGCCAGCGCCGCCAGCAGCUGACGGGACGGCACGUACCGCAGCCGCGCCAGCGCCGCCACACAGCCCACCAACACAUCAUCGCUACAGCCGCCGCCGCCACUGUUGCUGCUGCUUGUGCUCUUCAGGCUACUGCGCGACUGCGGCUGUAGCUGCAGCUGCAGCAGUAACGCCUCCACAAGCUCAGGAGGCGGCCGGGAGCGGGAGCCCCGCCCGCCCACCGGCGCCUGCGUGCCGGCUGUAGCUGUAGCCUUCGCCUCCGCCUCCUCCGCCUCCGCAGCCUCCGCUGCCGCCGACAGCAGGGCGUAGGCGUCACGGGGGUCCCAGCGCCGCCACUGCGGCGGCCGCUUGGAGGCCGAAGCCACAGUACUGCUGGAGGAGGAGGAGGAGGCGGCGGCGGCGGCGGCGGCGGCUGGCGCAGGCGGCGGUGUCCGGCUCUGCACCAGCAUGCGAGCCGCCGACGCAUACACCAACGGCCACAGUCCCGAGCCGGCGGCAGCGGCGGCGGGGGCGGGGAUGGAGGAGGAGGGGGAGGCGGUGGCAGCAGCAGCCCCAGAGGUGCCGGCUGUGGGGCGCCGCAGCCGCAGCAGUAGGGACAGGCCGCUGGCCAUCGCCGCCAGAGACCGGGGCGUGAGGGGCCCCGCCGCCGCCUGCCGCGCCGCAGCGGGCCUAGGACUGCUACUGCCGCUGCUACUGCCGCUGGACAGCAGGUGCUGUAGCAGUGUACGUGCCAGGGCGCCCGCCGCCGCCUCCUGCCAGGCGGCGUCUGGGGCCGGCAGCGGCAGUGGCCGGAGACCGCCGGCAGCAGCAGCAGCGGCGGCAUGAGGCGGCGGCGGCAGACACAGCCGGCCCACCGACCCCAACACCGUUGCCAGCAGUUCCGGCGACAGACCUCCACGGCUGCUAGUGCUUUUGCCGUCCGCCGCCUGCCCCCGCCCCUGCCCCUGCUGCUGCACGCACGUCGCCUCCAUAUGUUGCCGACUGCGCUCCAGCAGCGCCCACCACAGCUGCCGCGGCGCCUGCUGCCCCUGUUGCUCCUGCCUUGCCUCGCCACCCUGCUCCUGCUGCUGCGGGCGGCCCUCCUGCGGGUGUUCCUGCUCCGCCCGGGCCGGCGCCAGCAGCUGCUGCAGCGCCCACAGUGUGUUGGCCACCACCUGCGGCCCCGCCUCAUCACCAGCAGCAGGCCCCGCCUCAUCACCAGCAGCAGGCCCCGCCUCAUCACCAGCAGCAGGCCCCGCCUCAUCACCAGCAGCAGGCCCCGCCUCAUCACCACCAGCAGGGCCCGCCUCCUGGGCGCCGCCGCCCGCCCCAGCACCAGCAACCGCCCCAGCACCCGCAGGCGCACCUGCAGGCGCGGGCGCGGGCGCCAUGCGGCACAGCAGGGCCGGCCCGAACGCCGCGUCAAGCCAGCCGGGCGGGGGCCGCAGCCGCAGCAGCGCGCAGCCGUACAGCAGCGAGCUCAGCUCGGGGGCGCGGCAGGACUGGGGGAGGAGCAGCAGGGGGUGGGGUGGGGUGGGGGGACCGGGGCAAGGUCAGAGGCAGGUUUCACAUGGUUUCAUAUCGUCGCCCAGGUCACCAGACAACCAUGGAGCUGUAAGAACCUAGCCCAGCACCGCCAUUCCACCUGCGCCCCACCGCCAUUACCACCAGCUACACCCCCCGCACCCCCUCACCUGCAGCCGCUGCCGGGUGCACCGCGCCGCCACCAGCCGCUGGCCCACCACCCGCAGCCGACACACGUACCGCCCAGCCGCCGCCGAGCCGCCGCCGCUGCCGCCGAGCGUGCCGCCCGCCUCCCCAUUCCCAGCGCCGCUCCCGCCCGCCUCAGCCUCCGCUGCCGCCUCAGCCGCCGCCGCCGCCAGACCUAGUGCGUACAGGGCAUUGGACAGGUCGCGACCCGUGGGCCCCUCCUGCUCCCCCUGCUCCUCCUGCAUCGCCGCCGCCGCCGCGCUCCCGCCUCCGCCACCGGGCAUCAGCCGGCCCGCCUGUGCCUCCCACCAGCUAGCACGCAGCCGCAGCCCCAGCCGAGCUACAGCCCACAUGGCGUUGGAAGCCGCCCGGGGCUGUAGCAGCACGUGAGGCUGCUGCUUCUGCUGCCCGUAGCUGCUCCUGGCUGCGCUGCUGCUACUGCUGCUGCCUCCGGCGCUGCUACUGCCGCGCAUGGGCGCUGCCCCGGGCCCCGCCGAUCCCGGCCCCGCCGCCUCUGCCUCCGCUGCGGCCGCCCGCUGGCCCAGCUCUGUGGCGAGGCGCCAACCCAGGUCCAGGUCCAGACCUAGGGCGGCGGCGGCGGCCUGACCCCGGCCCCGGCCCUCACCCCGGCCCUCACCCUGCUUCGCCGCCUGUGCCCCGUGCCAAGGAGCCGGCUGCUGCUUGCUGCUACCGCUGGGCCCCUGCCGGGCCGCCGCGGCGGCGGAGGAAGAGGCAGCGGUAGCAGUCGCAGUCGCAGUGGCGGCAUUGGCAGUGGCAGCAGUGGCGGCAGAGGCGGACAGCUGGGCCAGCUGGGUGAGCAUGGCCAGCAGGUGCAGGUCGUUCAGGUUGCUACUGCUGCUUCCAGUACUGCCGCUUCUAGUGUGAGUGCUACUGCCACCGCCACUGCUGCUCGCGCUACUGCCGCUGUGGGUGCUAUACAGCUGCUGCAGCUGGGCGGGCGAGGCACAGCUCUUGAUGGCACGUGUGAGGGCGGCGCCGCCCAACAGCUGGACUGGCCGAGCAGGCCCCGUGGGAGCACUGCUACUGCUACUGCCGCGGCCACCGCCGCCGCGCCCGCCGCCGCCGCCGCCGAUGCUACUGCCGCCGCCGUCACUGACGCCUGGUGCGGCCCAGGCGUGACGCCGUGAGUGCCCUGACCCGGAUGCCUGCCCGCUGCUGCUGCUGCUGCUGCUGCUGCUGCUACUGUGGCGACCUCCGCCUCUGCUACUGCCGUUGCUGGUGCUGGUGGUGGCACUGCCAGCCAGCGAGACCCCCCAGCCGCCCGACACGGCGGCCGCACCCACCUGCACCUGCACACCCGGAACCGGGCCCGGGCCCUCAUCCCCACUACCCACAGUGGGCGCGUGCAGCCCCUCCCCGUGUCCUGCCCCGUGCCCCGACCCCUGUACAGCCGAGGGCACGUGCGGGCGGGUUGCAGCUGAUGGCGACGCCGCGGCCGAGGUGGAGGCCACCGCCGCCAGAGGCGCUGUUGCGGCCCGUGCAGCCGCUGCCUCCCACAGCCCGCCGCCACCGCCCGCAGCUAGACUCAGCGGGGCACGACCCGGGGCGCCGCUGCUGGCGCGGCUGCUGCUACUGCCGCCAACGGUGCCUGCGUAGCAGCUGCUUGGCGCCCCUGCCACCGCCGCUGCUACUGCCGGCGGGCCACGCGGCGGCGGCCGCCCUCGUGCCCUCAGCAGGUCCCUCAGCAGGUUGCCCCGCCGACCGCCACUGCUGCUGCUGCUGCUGCUAGUGAUGCCGCUGCGGCUGCCGGCGCAGCCAGCGGUGUAUGGAGCAAGCGAGGGUGCCGGGCAGGGCGCAGCAGGCCACAGGCGAGGCAACGGUGGCCGCAGCUCGGGUGUGUGCCGCCGGCCAGACGCCGCCGCUGUGGAGGCAGCAGCAGGCGACGUCGGGGUGGUGGCCAGGGGGUGAGCGGCCGUGGAACCGGCGCACGCCCAGCAACGGCUGCUGGGAUCGAGGGGUAUCAUAGCGCUGCAGCAGCGCGAGCCAGCGGCCCUUGCUCAGGUGGGGCGAGGACGCUUCGGAGACGCGGGUGCGCAGCUCACGCGCCUCGCCGCGUACAAACCGGUCCCGCUGCUUGCAGGCGCAUAGCCCCCUGGACCAGUCUCUGCUCGCGCUGGAGCGUUUGCCUGAGAAUUUGCUUUUGAUAGCAAAGUAUGUAUCUGCGCCGAGCGAAAUGCGCCUAUCGUGCUCCGCCAAUGCUGUGGCUUGGCGGCUCCUGGCUCAGCCGAGCACCUAUUACACUGUCCAAAGGUAAAAUCUACAUCCAACGAAUUGUAAGACUACAGUUGUAUCAAUGACAACAUUUGGGUGUGCCCAGCGAGCGCGUGCAGCAUGGUUAUCGCUCUGUGCUGGGGCAAACGUGCCUGUCGAAGCCCCUUUUCAAAUGCUUGGCUAUGCUACAACCGAUGUUCAACACCUCCAGACACAACACUAUGCGAAAGAAGUUUGCAUGCAAACCUAACAGGCAGGGAUGGGUCUGGAUGUGCCUCGCCGAGUUGCCACUCGUAUUUGCUCAUAAUAUAUUGUGUUUUGUAUUGGUCGUGGUUGACAGAAGGGACGUGUCCAUCUGGGGAGCACCAGAGCGGAAAAUGGCGCAUCCUACGCCCUACCUUCCUGAGGGAGUGCUGGAGAAGCUUGGGGAGAUCACCAUCGCUGGCAAGAGUAAGUAUUGCAAACAGCCUCCCCUCACAUUGACACUAGGAGUCGUUCUCAUAGUGAGCCGUUGAUCGACGGCAUGGACAUUUUCGGUGUGCGCAGCGUUGGUGACCAAGGAUGCAACGCUCACGCCGCUGGGUGUUGGCGCGUACUGGGGUGAGUGAGCGGCGGUCGCGGCCCCGCGAGCUCGAGGGCCAACCGCCCGGGGGGACGGUAUGGCGGGCUGCGGGCACUCCCGGCCGCGGGCCCCGGCUACGGUGAUAAUGUUGUGUGAAGCUUGCAGGCUCUUCAGCUUUGCAACGAGAUGGGGGUUUGCCUCACAACUGGGCAAACCGCACAGCGCCCGGCCGCACAGCGCCCGGCCCCCAGCUCUUAGCGCAGCUGCACUGCAGGCACCCAGCAUGCCGUGUCCGUGUCCGUGGCCUCCCUCCAGCCCCGGCUCCACCCUCUCAACAACCCGACACACAAAUACAUACACAGACGCGCGAUUGCUGCCUACCCUAUCUGCUCUCCCCCCCACCCUGACACACACCCUGACACACGCCCCAUGACACGCCCCCCAACACGCUCCCCAAACCCUCCUCCACCAAACCCCCUCCUCCCUGCCUCAGCGCUGGCCGGCUUCCUGCUGUUCACGCUCGCCUACAAGCUGUCCAAGUACUACACCCCCCUGUACUUCAAGGUACAAGGAGGAGCAGCAGGGGGGAGGGUGUUACAGGGGGGAAAGAAGGUUGGGGAAAGGUGGGAAAGGGGGACAGGGCUACAGGAAUGGCUGUGGCAGGCGGUGAGCGCCCCGUGUGUACCUGCGUGCGAGAGAAUGAAUGAAUGAAUGAAUGUACGUCCGCGAAACCUGAAUGUCUUCCAGUCGGUUGCGCAUACACCCAACCACAUGCACACACACGCACAGGGCUACAAGACCAUGAAGCCGCUGGAGCAGCGCGACUGGGACACGCGGUGGGUGGGUGCGGGUGGGUGGGUGGGUGGGUGGGUGCGGGUGGGUGGGUGCGGGUGGGUGGGUGCGGGUGGGUGGGUGCGGGUGGGUGGGUGGGUGGGCGCGGGUGGGCGCGCUCCUGCUUCCGUCGCCAGCCGCCAUGGAGCUUGCAAGUCACCCGCCUCCUUACACACGCACACUCAGCCCCUCUCGCCUUCCUCCGCCCGCAGCCUGGGCAACAUCGCCUACUCCGCCUACAUCGUGUACUGGGCGGUGCGGCUGCUGGUGCUGGACGACUACUUCUGGAGGGUGAGGGGCACAGCUGCGGAGGAGGGCAGGCGGGCAGGCGGGCUCCAAGGGGGUAUGGGCGCUCAACGCCUGCCACCCCCCCCGGGGUACAGACAUCCGAGGCCCACAUCAGCAGCAGCACCCCAGGCCCCGAGCACACACGCACGAGCGCCCGCCUGCCGCCGCCUGCCUCCCACCUGCCCCUUGCUCACACGCUCCUGCUACCCCCCCCCGCCCCCGGCUGCUCCCCCCCCCCCCCUGCCGUGCUGCUUCAGGCCGGCGGCGGCCCCAUCACCAAGCGUGUGUCGACUGACUCGUACGCGGCUCUGGGCGUGAGCCUGGGCUUCUUCGCCAUGGAGCUGCUGCCCACACUCAAGUACUGGGUGAGGAGGGGGGGAGGAGGAGGGGGAGGAAGGGGGGGAGGGGGGGGAGGAGGGGGGGGAGGGGCAUGCAGGAGGGGGGGUAGUCCACCGCUUCACUACCCACCCGCAAGCCCCGCUCCCCACCCAACUCACCCAAUUCACCCAACUCACCCAAUUCACUCACCUCACACCCCUCACCCCCCCCCCUCGCCAGAUGGGCGGCAGUGCCAUGGUGCUGCACCACAUCGGCUCGCUCACCUGCGUGGCGGUGGCGGCGGCGGCGGGGGACGGCCACGCGCUGACGCUGUGGAUGCUGUCCACCGAGUUCACCACGCCCUUCAUCGCGGCCCGAUACAUGCUGGACAAGGCGGUGAGGGCGGCAGGGGGCGGGAAGGGGCGACAGGGUGGGCGGGGGAGGGGGGGGGUUAAGAGGGCGGUGUGUGUGGAUGUGUGUGUGGCGCCCAUGCCUAGCCACGCGACCCAGGACUCAACAGGGGGACAGGAAGGCCCUCGGGGUCAGAGGCUGGAGGGUAGGCCUUGUCGGGUGUCAGGUCUGCGGCAGGGGGCACUGGGCACUGGGGUCUAGGUCCUGGGGCACUGGAGUGUGUGGGCCGUACACCCCUGCCACCACUUACCACAACAUGCAGAUUGAUACCCCAGCUCCCGCACUGCUCUUCCCCACGCCGUCUCGUUCCACUUACUCCUCCCCCUCCCGCCUACGUUUGGACACAUUCCGCUGGGCUCGGGCAUAUGACCUCCCCCCUCCCCCAACCCGCUGGUGCAUACAACCCCCUCCCCCCGCCCCGUCCCGCCCUCCCCCCCUCACAGGGCCUCAAGUCCCACCCCAUCUACGUGGUGAACGGGCUGCUCAUCGUGGCCAGCUGGACGGUGGCGCGCAUGGCCACCUUCCUGCCCUUCUUCAAGACGGCCUGGGACGUGCGCGCGCAGGUGCCGCUGAUGAACCCGCUCAGCCAGGUCCUGCGUGAGUGGGGGCCGAGGCGGGCCAGGGUGGGGCGGGGGUGGGGGUGGGGGUGGGGGGAUGGGGGGGUGGGGUGGCGGGGGGUGGGGUGGUGGGGAUGGCGCGGGCUUGGGCUGGGUGGGUGGUGUAGCCGGCUCCAAGUCCAUGGUCCUGGGCGUGUGGCGCUGCAGUGGGGGGCUGUGGAUACCCGCCCAAACUAAACCGGACCCAAUGCAAUAGAUCGAGGAGGAGAACGGGGGGCGGGCAGUCGUGGGAGACAGUGGUGGGGCAGUCAGGGGUAGUGAGGGGCAGAGGGGGCUGUGGGGGCAGUAAGGAGCAGUGGGGUGGGAGGGGGCAGUGGGGCGCGUGUGUGCGGCGGAGGCGCGACAGCCCGGGGCCGGGCAGGCAGCCUUGAUCUGAAGCAUCUCUCCCCGAGUAGGGUGAAAUGGUAUUGUGUCUCUUUCUGGGACCUUGACUCCCCGUGCCCCCUCCCCCUAACCCCUCCCCACCUCUCCCCCCACCCAACCCCCGCAGUGCUGGUGUUCCCUGCCACGCUGGCGGUGCUCAACACCUGGUGGUACUACAAGAUCGUCAAGGGCGCACUCAAGGUGCUGGGGCCCAAGAAGAAGCCAGUGGGCAAGACGCAGUAAAGCCAGCAGCCAAGACUCAGAGCAAUGCGACUGCGUGAAGGCCCCGGGGCGGCUGAGGGGCGUUGUGGAGGGACAGAGAGGGGCGCAGUGCUGCGGGCGGCCCAGCCGCGUGGCCAGCCGGGGGGGCGGCGGCGGAGUGCUUGCGGCCGGGCUAGGGGGGAGGCGGGCGUGUGCAGCCGGGUGCGACCAGGGGCUGAGGGCCUCGUGCCUGUGGGCGUGUGUGCGGCUAGGGGAGUGCUGGUGGCGGUGGGGCGGCACACACAAACACACACGUCUGUGCGUGCAGGGGGGGGGUUAUGUGUGGCCCGAGCCUAGUAGGUCCCAAUAGUCGAGGAAUCGGGGAGGGACGGGGCUUGGAGGGGAGCAGGGCGGGAAUCCCGGGAUAUCCCCGGUCUGUGUGUUUUGCAUCUUAGUGCAUGAAGCGGCACAGGGCGCUUGUGGGCAGAGCUGGACGGCGACAUCUACGAGCCGCUGCGGGGCAUGCCCUGCACGUACCGCAGCUGGUGGACGCCUUGCAGGCCAUAAGGCCGCUGGCCGCUGGUGAGGGGGGCGUGGCGAGGAUGUGCUGGAACACGCGAGCGUUAACGCCUGGUUGUGUGCGUGCGUGCUGGGGAUGCACGAGGCCGAGGCCGCGCAGCGAGCGCAUGUGAGUAACACCCCUCUAUAGCUCAGCCAAUUCCUGGCGAGGAGUGUUGAGUGCACUCAAGUAGCGCUGUGCGUAUGCCCGUGUGAUGCUGAACGCCCAGCGAAGAAGGUGGGCCACACGAGCGUGCAAAGGACGUGCGGCGGUGGGCUUGGGGGCGGGGAUUGGACUGCUGCCCCUACUGCUGAGGCGUACAGGCCAGUAGGGUGUAAGUUGUCACAGUGAGCUCAGUGUCGUGCUCGUGCAGGUUGGGCGUGCUGAAGCCCAGGAGUCUGAGGGGCACACGGCAGCGAAAACAGGAGACUUGCGUGGCAGGCAUGCCGCAUGCGACAGUUGCACCCCAAAUUCAAUGGACUCCAGGCCACUAACUGCUCUGGCAUCUUGAAUUGUAACACAUACAUCACCUCUAUUGUUCGGGCUAAAAGACUCGUGCUCUUUCUCCUCCCCUUUGGCGAUCAGCCUUGACCACCAGCAACACACGCGGCACACGGCCACAGACGUGCUGAGCCAAGCCCAUCAGUAUAGUGGUAGACGGUUGCAACAAUCGGCUCGCCUUCCUAUCAUAGCAUCCGCACAACGCUGAACGAUCUGGCUGCAUUUUGGUGACCAGCGCUUCAGUACAGCUACUUGGGCGCAAUGCGACUUUCAUCUGUCCCCUUGCUUGGGUCGUGAGCCAAGGUAGAUGCGCAGGCGAGCGCGUGCUGUGCUGCACUGGGGUUUGACGAGGGAAUGCUUCGUGGGCUAAGGUGCAUCCAGAGCCCAAGGCAUUGCAUUGCCUUCAAAUGCAGAAGUUGAAUUGUCCCGUCGUGUUGCUUUAUCUGCGCGCGGCGCUGCUGGCAAAACGACCCCUGGCAUGUCAUCCUUGCACCGCAGCGCGCGACUCGUUUUUUUAGACGGCAGCAAUAGAUAUGAUGGCCCAGGCACAGCCACCUCAGCAACAGCCCUCACUUCAAGUGUUCCUGUGGCUGGGGGCUGGUCAGCAACGAGCGGACGGGCGGAUUCAGUACUCGAGCUUCCGCCUCAACUCCACCGAUUACCGCGUGGGCGACUGCGUGUUUCUAUUCCCCGAGGAUGAGAGCUACCCACCCUACGGUGAGCAUGGUCGCACAGCGCCCCUUGGUUGCAAAGCAAAGCUGCUAUCUGACGCGGCUGUGUCGCCGUUGCCUGCUCGGCCUCUUACACCCCCCCCUCCUGGUUUCCCGCAGUUGCCCGCAUCCUGUCGGCCUUCGUAGACACCCAGGUGCAGGAGGGCAGUGACCCGCACUGCAUAGAGGUGAGGGCGGUGCCGCGACUGGAGCCCCGUUGUGUGUGUAUGUGUCAGGGGGUCCACAAGCGCUUGCCGAACGGCCAUUCCCGCGGGGGCCGAGCGUGAGUGCAGGCAUGCGCAGGGGCCCUGCCCUGCCCUGCCCUGCCCUGCCCUGCCCUGCCCUGCCCUGCCCUGCCCUGCCCUGCCCUGCCCUGCCCUGCCCUGCCCUGCCCUGCCCUGCCCUGCCCUGCCCUGCCCUGCCCUGCCCUGCCCUGCCCUGCCCUGCCCUGCCCUGCCCUGCCCUGCCCUGCAAUCUCCGGGUUGUCCUGCAGCCCUAUUAGUGCGCCUGCCACGGCGCAGCUCGCGCGACCGACACCUGUCCCCGCGCCUCCUGCCUUGCACCGCGGCCCCCGACCCGCACUGCUCCGGGUUGUCCGGCAGCCACCCACCCACCUAUGUCCCUUCCGCUUCCCCGCUCCGUCUUCACCCCUAUCUGCGCAGGUCAAGUGGUUUGAGCGGCGCGUGAACCUGGAGCCGACCACCAAGGGCAUCGAGGAGAGCGAGCGGGAGGUGUUCGAGCUGGAGGACACGGACGUCAACCCCAUCGGUGGGGCAGGGGCGGGUGUGGGCGGGUUCAGAGGGGCGUGGUAGGGUGGAGGGGGGUUCAUGGCGUGGAUGGCACCCUUGAGGACUAGAAGAAUGAGGAGCAAAAUGAGGCAGAUGGGUUGCGCGGCGUGGGCAAGUGUGUGUCGGUGCGGCGGCGGCACAGUCGUUUCCAGGCGCGUAUAGACGGAGGCCUUCACGGCAGGGGCGCGGAGGAAGGGGAUAGCGCGGGUAGACAUGUGAAUCGCUAGUUUGCAGUCCUCAAGUCACCUCGCCCGCUGCCCAAACUUCGCAACCCCUCGCCCCGCCGCUCACGGCCCCUCUCUUGCCUCACCCGCAGGCUGCAUCUCCGGCAAGUGCCGAAUCGUCAAGGCGCACAACUACGAGGAGGCCCGCCUGCGCCGCUCCGCCGCUGCCACUGGCGGCAGUGGGGGAGGCGCGGGUGGCGCUGAGGCGGCGGGGGCGGGUCUGGGGCCCUCCGGCCCCGGCCCUUCCUCUGCAGACCCCUGGUUCUUCUGCAGGGGCUACUUCCAGCAGACCACCAACAGCUUCGUGGCGUACACACCUGACGAGAUGGGUGAGAGCGGAGGGGGGGGGCGGGCGCGGCAGGGCUUUGGGGCAGGGAGCUGUUUCCACCAUUCCACUGAUUCCAGCAGGCAAACAAGAGGAGGUAGAACAAGGAAAAUUGAAGCGGGGCCGUGUGGGGGAGGGGGCGUGCCUUCGUGUGGGGUGGCGGCGAGCAGGUGGAGAGUGGCAGCAGUGAAGGGGGAGGGCCAGGGAUUGCAGUGUCUUGAGAAAGCCAUAGAGCUUGGAGGGAUAGCAGCUGGCGCCGUGAUGCCCCCUCGGUCCUCACUCUCUGCGUCCUGCUCCAUCCGCCUGCCCCUACUUCACCUCCCCCUCCUUGGCAUCGACUCCCUCCUGCGGCUCCUACUCCCGUCCCUCCCUCCUAUCUAUGUGCCGCCGCCUCGUCCGCGUAGCCCGGCCGGACGUGGCCCUGGACGUGGGGCUGGUGGACACGGCCGCACACGCACACGGAGCCGGAGCCGGAGCCGGACACCUGGCGGGGCUGGCCGGGCCGGGGCUGGGCGGGGGCGGGGCCGGCCUGAGCGAGCAGGUGAGGGCCCGGGGCGCAGUGUGUGUGUAUGGGGGGGGGGCGGGAUGCGUGUAUGCGUGUGCGCCCAGUGUUCGGAAGGGGCGCCAUAGGGCUGCAGGACUGAGCCGGUGCAGGGUGGAGCUGGGCGGGCUUUGUCACGGGUGCUGCUCGGUGGCCACAUGCGCAUGUGUUACCGUCGUCUGGGCCUCCGAGCCUGCCGCCCUAACCAUUGCCCUUGCAUCCACAUUCACCGCUGCUGCCGCGCACAGCCGCCCACGCCGACGCGGUUACGGGGACCCAACACAGCCGCCGGCAGCGGGCCGGUGUGGGGUCUGCCCCACGGCCACGCCGGCAAGGCCGCCGCGCUUCACUCCAGCCACCACUCGCAGCACCCACACGCCGGCAGCGGCGCGGACCCGCACCACAUGGCUGACCCCGGGGAGGCGGGCGUGUGCUGGGGGGCGGCGGGGCUGGACGGCGAGGGCGGAGACGGCGGCGCCGGGCCGGAGGACGAUGAAGAGUAUUCGGACCCAGACAACAACCACAACGACAACAGGGGCGGAGGAGGCGGUGGAGCGGGGGCAGGGGCAGGCGGCCGUAACCACCACUAUGCCGGAGGCGCCAGCGGCGGCGGGCGGGCUCGGGCGGCGGGCGGGCACCACGCGGCUCCGGCGCAGCAGCAGCCGUCCUCUAAGAAGCAGAAGGCCACGGGGCGGACGUGUCUGGAGUGUGGAGCCACCACCACGCCGCAGGUGGGGGAGGGCGGGGCGUGGGGGCGAGGAUGGGUUGGGGGUAUGGGGGGGGGGGGGAGGGGGGGAGUGGCAGGGGGCGGGGACGGGCGCGGGACAAGGCGUGGGGGAAGGGCAGGGACACUCGCGUGCUGGGCUGGGCUGGGUUCAUGCCGUUAUGCGGCGACUACUGCUGUAGGCUGUGGGUUAUAGGUGGGUUUGGGCGGCUGUGUUCGACUCGGAAAGGCGCUGUAGCCGUGUAGGGCAGCGCUGCCAGAGGUCGAAUCACAUGUGCGUGUGUCGGCAUGUUUUUGGCGGCGCCCUCUGGAGCUUUACUCAAUCCGCCCCUCCCUCGUUGCCCUGCCUGCGCUGCGCUCCUGGUGACUGGUGUGCUCACCGUCAACCCCCACACACCGCAGUGGCGGGAAGGCCCCAUGGGUGAGCGAGGGCUGGCGAGACGCACUCUAGGCACCCAACAAACCGCCACUUACGAGUACUGAAAGCAUGUUGGAGGGCUUAAAGACAAUGUACGGUGUGUAGGGCCUUCGCCUUCCUCUCGCAUUUUACUCACUAUGCCCCCACCCGGCCCGGCCGCUGUUUUCACGGACAGGACCCAAGACGCUGUGCAACGCUUGCGGCGUGCGCUACGUGCGCUCGCAGCAGAAGGCGGCGGGGCAAAAGCGCGGCGGGCAUAAGAACGGGCAGAAGACGGUGAGUGGGGUGUGCACCUGUCGGCAUCAGGUGGCAGGGCGCAGUGUUCCUUAUCGAGAUCGGCAUAUGCCCACCAACGCUCUUCCUGCGCUUGCCCUGUGCAUCUUAUAUCUUACAGGACGCCGCCCGCGGUCAGGGGGCCCGGACAAAACGGAAGGUGCGCCGGUCGUAGCUGUGUGCUGUGCUCUCAUGUGUGCGGGCCAUUGCUACGCCCCUGCGACAUUGAGUCUGUCCAGUGCCGGAGCUGCUGCACCUGCCGCACCCUCCCUUCUCCUAACACGUGUGCCGCUCACUGCCCGCUGCCCACACAGCCCCACCACGGUGGCGGGAGUAGCGGCGAGGACUAAGCAAUAUCGCACCGUGCCCCGCACUGCGGGCUGGGCCGGCCUUUCAGCUGGCAGACUCGCCUGGCGGACGCACAACACCCUGGACGUGACUGGGAUGACGCAGGAGGCUGUACGGUGGGGGCAGCAGACUGGAAAUGACGGCCUCGCAUGUUGUUAUGCUUGCGAGCGGCGACGUGGACUCGGAACGGGCGCGACUGGUGCCAGAGCAUGGGAGGUGAAGGGGCCAUGCAGGAAGGAGGCAGUAGCAGCUUAGAGACACCGGGAGCUUCCGCGUUGUUUGCCAGCAAACUCGCGUGACUACUACACUUGUUUGUAUUAUAUGUUGUGACUGCGGGAAUGGGGUUUGCGCAAUAGGAUACGGCCGGGAGGUGCCGAGGCUCCUAGUGGUGCUGGCCUGGGAGGUUGAAAUGCCGUCCCCGCUGUGUGUUGAAAAAUGGAUAGCGGUAGGCUCGAAUGGGCUAGGACGCCGUGGUGCGCGGCGCAGACGCAAAUGGGAAUCGAUGCAGCGCAUGCACGCGCACAUUAAUGCCCCGCAGGAGUGCGGCGUUCCUUUCUCAGUUAGUCCUCCACCCCUACCUACUCCCCAUUCUCCAAACCUCGCAGCAGUACAUAUGCAGAAGGCGACGAUUGAAUUUUUCUGGCUUGGCGCACCGCAAAAUGCUGCGAGCGUCCAUGAGUCUGCCGACCGCGUCUACUAUACCGGCUUCAACCUGAAUGGCGUGACCUUUCAGGCUGGGGAGUACGUUCUGCUGCAUCCAGAGGAGGAGGCAUCCCUGCACUAUGUUGGCAAGCUUGUCAAGUGUUUCCACGACAAGAGCGGCGCCUAUGGCGACCCGCAUUGUGUUGAGGUGCGAGCUUUGGGGUGGGCGGCGGGAAGCAGCUGGCUGGGGGCGCCCGUCGCGAGGCCAGCCGAGCGCGCGCGUUCAUGUGCCAUUUUGUAUGUCUCCCCCCACUCUCGGACGGGCCCUCCAGCUUCCGCGUGCGCUUUGCUAAGGUUUACGCGUAGUACUUUGCAUUGAGCUUGGUAUGGGCUGCUCGCGGCGCUCGCAGGUGGCCUGGUUUGAGCGGGCAGUCGUGCUCGAGGCCGGUGCCGACCUCAAAGAACUGGUCGAACUUGCGGAGACCGACAUCAACCCUAUCGGCUGCAUUUCGGGCAAGGCCUACGUGCUGAAGGCGUCGAGUCUUGAGGAGGUGAGGCGCCUUUUCGGUCUUUAUUCUGCCGCCUCACGAGUUCCGCGCGCCCCUCGCCGACACGCUUGUCUUUCGCCCGCUUUGUACACAGGCCUCUCAGCUUGCACAGGCCAGCGUGCCCGCGCACUGCGAGUGGUUCUGGUGCGCGCGGGCGCUCCGUGCGGGGGUCCUGCUGCCCUGCUCCGAGCUGGGUGAGUCUGCGUAUGUAACUCCGCCGCAUUCUGGUAACAUGUGUAUCAUCCUUCACUGCGGGCGUGUGAACGGAACGCUGUGUGAGGUGCACAAACAACUCCCGCCCAAAAUGUUCAAAGCCGACUGGUGGGGUUUUCCUCCUUUUUGCCUGCAGCCGACCCGGCCGGCGCCUCAGCAUGCGGGCAGCAGGCAGCUUUGCCGCCGCAGCUCAGCGGCAAGCGCUCGCUGACGGGCGGCCAGGGCUCGGCGGAGGGCGCAGCCGACAGCGAGGAGGCUGAAGCCAAGCGCUCGCGGCUGCAGCCUGAGGAGAUGCCCACCGCGCCCGUGCGGCGGACGGGCAAGCUCGUGAGUGGGCGCACAUGUGUGGAGUGCGGGGCCACGCAGACGCCGCAGUGGCGCGAGGGCCCCGCCGGCCCCAAGACGCUGUGCAACGCCUGCGGCGUCCGCUACGUGCGCGCACAGCAGCGCGCCAACAAGCGGGCGGUCAGCAUGGGGUCCUCGCGGCCCUCGGGCGGCUACGGCGGCCGGCAAUCCCGCGCGUCGAAGGUGGGUUGCAAAGGGCUGGGGGGCGUGGGCUGCGGUUGGCGCGCAGCCUUAGGGCCUGUCCAGGCAGACCAACCGUUCGGCAGUGGUUCACUGGGUCCGUUGGUGUGCUGCUGCCCAAACCUGCAGAGCGCCCGCGCCGAGCCCGCGUGCGGCCCUCGUGGCGGCGCCCGCGCCGCUGCGUCCGCCGCUGCCGUGGAGGAGGUGCCUCAGCGCCCGCUGCGCCAGGUGGGGCGCAGACUAGGGUUUGCUAGGGUUAUGCAGGUACUCGAUACGGAAAGAUUGGAAACCGGGCGCAGCCGCGCAUGAGGCACGGCCACAUCACAGCCGCAAUGGCGGUAUCUGUGUCUAUGCCUUGAUGCACGCUACUGCCGCCGCCGCUCGUGCUACCUCCCUCAUUUCAGGCGGCGCUGCUAGCGGCGAACAAGACGGCGCAGUACGCGCGCACCGGCGUGUUCCCGCAGAGCGCCACCGAGCUCCACCAGCACCAGCAGCAGCCGUACGGGGGCUUGUGUACACUCGGCGAGCUGGAGCUGGUCGGCCGGCCCGGCACGCCGGUGUGCCCCUCCGCCACCGCCUCCGCCGGGGCCAGCGCCUGCGCGGACAGCCUGCCCGAGGGCGUGACGGUGGAGGUGGAGGUGGUGGUGGACGGCGGCGACAUGGAUGGCGGCUGCUGCGGCGGCGGCGCGGUGUCGCCGGCUAUGGGGCUGGUGGCUCCGUUCGCGGCGCUGCCGGGGGUGCCCGGCGGCUACCCGCAGCUGCAGCAGUUCCAGCAGCACCACCACCAGGCCCUGACCCACAUGGGCCUGCUGCCAGGCGCCGGCUGCAGCCCGGAGCGGCCUGCCGCCGGCACCUCCGGCCUGACCCACAUGGGCGGCGCUGCCGCGGUGCAGGGCAUGGUGCCGCUGGCGGGGCACGUGGUGCUGCUGGGGGCCGCGGCCGCGCCAGCCGCCGCCGCCGCCGCCGCUGACAGCACGCCCUCCACCAGUGGUACCAGCGGCAGCGGCCUGGCCGCGGGCGCGGGUGGCGACUGCUGCGCCAGUGAGCUGCCGGCAGCUGCGAUGCCGCUGCAGCACCAUCUCCUGCACCCCCACGUCAUGUCGGUGCCAGUGUCGCCCAGUGCGCACCAGCCCGCCGCCACCGCCGCCUGCGACCUGUUCGUGUGUGGUGACGAGGACGAGGCGGGCGCCGGCAGCCACAUGGGCCUGUACGGCGCCGGCCAGUCGGGCCUGCUGGGCGCCGGCGAGGACGAGGAGGCGUUUGGGUCGCUGGUGGGCGCGGAGGUGGACUUCGGCCUGGGCGCAGGCAGCGGCGACGGCAGCGCGGCGCUGUUUGACGUGCUGCUGCAGCCCGGCGGCCCGGGCGGCCACUGUUGCGAGGGCGACCUGGACGGCGACCUGGGCGUGGGCGUGUGCGACCUGCCGGACGUGGCCGCCCGCGCCGCGCCCUACUGCACCGACCUGGCGCCCGGCACCGCCGCCCGCCAGCUGCUGGACGCCGCGCCGCUGCUGCUGAUGGCCGGCGACGUGCCGCUCGGGUGCGGCGCCGGCAGCAGCUGCGGCACGGUGGCGGUGGCCGGCGGCGCCGAGGCGGAGGCGGCGGUGCGGCAGCUGGUGGGGCUGGGCGCGGAGGCGGGCCGCGCGGCCACCGAGGCCCUGGCCGCCAGCGAGGCCGCUGCGGCGGUGGAGCAGGCCGCCGAGGCGCACGCCGAGGCGGCCCGCCGCGCCCGCGACGCCGCCGCCUGCAACCUGGAGCGCUUGCGUGAGGCGAUCUGUGGCAUUGCCGGCCCCGAGGCGGCGGCGGCGGUGGCGCUGGACUGCAGCGGUCUCAUCGAGCUGCCGCACAGCCUGGGCGGUGGCGACGGCGGCGCUGUGUGCGCCGGCGGGCUGCUGGGCAUGGGCCUGGGCUCCAGCCUGUUUGAUGACGCCUCUCUGGUGGCCGUGCACUCGUAAGCGAGCAGCGCCUGUGCGUGUUAGAAAGCAGCGACGGCAGCGAAAAAGAUGUGGCUGGACCCUCACACGCAACACUGGCCCAGCAGCAGCAGCAGUAGGAGUAGAAGCCCCGCGUGCAGCGGGAGCAGCAGCUGGAGCCGCGGUUAAACAUUCAACUUGCGCGGCGAUGGUGGCAGUCGAUGCGUUUGAAGCGAUGGGUGCUUGCGCUCUUGCUUCAAUCGCACGUUGCCUACCAUUAUAAAGUGGUCUCGAUAACCAAAAUACCAAAAAGAACGUCGGCGAUAUGGCCCGCGACGUGGUUCAUUAGCGCGGGCGGCGUACAGGUGCUACGCAUGCCAACAUUGUUGUGUUACGUGGUGGCUCGAGGGCAAGGGAACCGCGAGUUGUGGUGUGCUUCGGGUUUAGAACGUCGAGUCACCAGCAUUAGGCUAGACGUAUGUGUGCGUGUGUGUAUGUGUGCGUGGUGUGCGCGAGGAGUGGCGAAAUUUUUUACAGGCCGCCAGUCCCCAAUUUUUGUGCCAUAACAUUUGAAGGCGCAGGACUCUAGCUGAUGCUGUUGCCUGCAAUUACUUCGUUUUACUCAUGCCUCGGUCCUGAAAGGCAUUCGACCCUCGUAUCCACUCGGCCUGAGUGUGGGGAGGGCUUUGCCAGUGCAGCGCCUUGCAGUGCGGUGCGGUGCGCUGCAGGACUGACUGCGCCGAGGCCUGCAAAGGGUGGGCCUGCGCUGCCUCUGGAGCGGGCAGCUGUCCCCCCAAUGCCAUUCGACGUGGAACAAAUCUACAAAAGCGGCGGUGGGUGCGUGGCAUUACGCUGUUAGGACCGUGAACAGUCGGCGGCCCACUAAGCAGGUCAUCAUGGUGCCGGCGAUGCGGGUGUGACUGCUGAAACGUGUGCGUGUUGCGUGUUGCGUGUACGGCGACCAACGCGUUUGCAGGGCACGAGAGGGACGUGGACUCGGGAGUAUUGGGUAGAAGACAUUUUUGGACAAAAUGAUUGAAGGUGCGAGAACACGACGACUCAGUUGGUGACGCGUGCGAGGUGUUGAGGCGUGUCAUGAAUUCGCUUGCGCGGUGAGGUCAGGAAGGCAAGGUCAAGUUGGACGCACGGGAAUGGACUGCGCGAGUGCAGGAGGGAGCGCCGCGAGGGGUCGCGUGUGUGCAGCCGGUUGCGCCGCGCGAGGCCCAUGCAGCUGCGUAGAGGCUACCAGCGGGAGCUGAUGAGAGCAGUGCGGUGCGGUGUGUGGCGCGGGUGUGUGCGUGUGUGGGCAGGGCGGAACGGGGGUUGGAGUUGUGGCGGGAGGCAUGCGGCUUGGUGCCGAGUGCAGGAGGGACCGGCUGGGGGCGGCUGGGGGAACCGGCGCGCCGGCGUGGGUCGUACAUACACGCACACGGUGCAUGGGGGCCGCACGCGGAAGUGCAGCUGGUGGAUACUGACGACGGGGUAGCCGAGAUCGACCGGGGAACGCCAGAUUCCCUUGAAUCUGGCGAGAGUGGGGUAGGCAACCCCGAAACCAUUUGCAUGUGCGCGCAUGGUGGUGACGCAUUCCUGUCUGUUCCGAGUUUUCAGAGUGUUGUUGGCGAGGCGGGGCCGCCCCCGGUGGUGGCGGGUGUCCCCGCCUCGAGGGCAUUGGCACUGUAGGGCGGAGGAGAGCGCCCGCUCGUGGGAACUCGCCUCUUGCGGGCGCUGGGGACAUUCAUUGUCUGUCUGUGUCUCUUGAAGUCGCAUCGCGCCCACGCGCGCCCGGGCGCUCGCUGUGCAGCCCCCGUGUGAGUUUGCCCGUGUUGGGGGCUCGGACGCAGGGCCCUCGCCGCGUCCGGAAACAGCCUCCCCGGCGCAUGUUGUGGCGCAGCGCGCAAAGGCAGUGGGAGCACACGCUGCGGCCGAGACUAAGGCCACCAUGAUCUGGACUGGCCUUGCCCAGCGCAUGGCGUGACCCUGCCAAACACGUGGUGCACUGGUGUGUAAGCGUGUUAGGAAUGAGUGUGUGUUGGGAUUUGUUGCUGUAUACCUCCUCGCGUGUGUGCGAGGUGAGGGGUGCCGUGCACACUUGCACAAUUGAACUCAACUUGUUAUGAGAGGCGCAGCCGGCACUCGGCCUUAUGGACGAAAGGCCAGGGUCCGGCGCACAAGCGGAUGGCAUGGUGUGACAUGGUGCGGUGUGGUCGUGUGUGUGUAUGUGUGGUGUUUGUUCGGCUGCAGGGAGGUCAGGGCCGGUGCCGCCGCAGGUGGCUGCUGGGCCGUGCGCCGCCUGCCUGUCCCCGCAUCCGGGCCCCCACGGCACAUGGAUGGUGGGAUGCGUGCAAACAGGGCGCGGCACCUGGACGAGGGGGGACUCUAGGGCCCCGUUAACCCCGAGACCUUGAGGAGAUGAAAAGGCCGCUGGUGCAUGUAUUUGAUUGUGUGUGUAUGCACAGGUGUCAGGGCACCAGCCCGCACCUGGGGCAUGGGUGCGCCCCCGUGCCUCGUCUCGCGUGAGUUGUCAGGCGCUGGGCAGUGGCUCCCACAGGCAAUUGAAGUGGGUGCCAGCCCAACAAUAUACGUGCCACCAGCACAAAAAACAAGAAAAAGAUUCAACCGUGUUUUGUGGAUUCGUGUGGUGUGAUUUGGAAUGAGGCGGAUUUAGAUGGACAACGACACUUGUGGAGUGUGUGGCUGGUGAGGCGCGGGCGCUGAGGCCCCGACACGCAGGAUUGCUACGGGAGUCUCAUGUGCGUAGAAAGCGAUGACGCAUAUUUCUUGCAGUCCGAUAGGGCAAGACCAUCGAGUAGAGCAAUUGGAAUGGAUUGAUGCGGGAACUAACCCGCGGUCGGACACGGAUUGAAUGCGGUAGGAGGGCUGGCCGCUGCAGCAAGUGAACAAGUGAACGAGAUGCCACUGCAGGACACGAAGGCAAGAGCGCACAUGGACCGUCUGGAUGUGCUGAUACAGGGCCUGCUGUAAAGAAGGAAGGCCCCUACCAGCUCAUGCUCGAGUCGCUGUGGUGCCGUCCUGCUUGGCCCGGGGCGGGGCUGCUGGCGGCGCUUACACCUUUUGGCCCUGGGGACACUGGGGUUUGGGCGACAGGCCGGAGCAGGCCUCGACCACUGUUCAGUCAGCCGGAGCCAGCAUACCGGUUCCAGGUCUCACCCGAGACACGCUUCACGCGGAGACUCCUGCAGUGUUGAGACAGGGUUGAGAAGGUCGGCAGGCAACCAGGGGAGCGGGCAGUUCCUAUCUUGGCCGGGGAUGGUCCCUCGUGUGGCGUGGCUGCGGUGCACCCUCAUGGGUCGGACUGUCCUUUCGACUCUUCUUGCAACGUCGCACAAGCUGCCAGGGUGCUCCGUCAUGCUCCGUUUGCUGUCGUGGGGACGUCAGCGCCGGUAACACCACAGCGCUGAGGUUGAGGCUGUUGCCAGCAGUCUCGCCUGACUCCGCCCCUGCCACAUCAGCUGCCACUGGGGCGCUGACCGAAACGCCAGUCGCGCCACCAGGGGCACGGCCGCUGCACACGCCCAGCAGGCUACCAAGCAUGGGUGUGCCUGCUGUGGCUGUGGCCAGGCGGGCGGCGCUGACAGCCACCACUGCCGCAGACAGCGGCGCGGCAGCAACGCCCGGCGGCGCAACAGUGGGUGGCAUGCGGUCCCGGGUAUCGGGGUAUGGAACUGUUACAGCGGCGGAGGCCCUCAGGUGCGAGGGGCUGGGUAAAUCCUGGUUGCCUGGCUACAGGCUUAUCUUGUGGCUGUGGCUGGGACUGGCGCAUCAAUGCUGCGGAGCUACUGUCGAUGCGGCGGCGGCAGUGGCGCCUCAUCGUAUGUCACAGGGGCGGAGACCGUGCCGCCGCCGCCGCACCCGUUGCCCCUGGGCCCUGGGCCAGCUGGUUGAGGUGCGCCCAUCGCCACUGGGUGGAGCGAGAGACCUCUCAAGUCGUGCCAAUGCAGGCGUGGAUGGCUAACCCACGAGUCCUUCGUGUAUGCCGCCAGACAAGGACGCCUGACGCUUUCAAAUUUAUUGCACGUGGUGGCAGUGAGAAAUAAAGGAGGCCGGAAGGCUUAGCGCAGGCCCGCCAGGACGUCGCUUAUGGCCAACAAUGGCUGUCCAUCUCCCCCACCCCCUGUGUGACCAGCUUAGUGGCUUUCGUCGGUCCUAGGCGGCGCGUGUGCGCGCGGACGCGGACGCGCGCACACGCGCCGCCUAGGACCGACGAAAGCCACUAAGCUGGUCACGACAUCAAGCCUCGGAUUCCCGUGCAGGCUCACGCAGAAGUGCAGACACGCACGUAGGACUCCUUGCCAAGCAAAUACACACACAGCCACACCGCAAUACAUGCUAUCCCGGUAAAAUGAGCUUCCAUACCGCCUCUGGAUAAACAGGUCCUCGCAUCUUGGAUUGGGACACUGCCCAGCACAGUAGUCACAUUUUCAUACACUGUUGUCAUUCCACGCGCACUCUGCCCGCACGCACGCAACCACAAAACGUCCCUUUGUCCUUGGGGUCCGGACACUCCUCGCCCACGGACUCAUCCUCAUCGGAACCCAGCAUCUCAUCUGCGCGCUCCGUGUCCUUCACCAGCUCAGCCCACUUGCACGCCUCCUGCGUCAUAACGCCUACAAGCUGCGCCUGCAGCUCCAGAACCUUCUGCACGUACUGGGAUUGUACUGGGUGUGGGCGCUCGGACAGAGAGUGCGCUGUGUCCCGCAGGCUGUGCACGCCACUGCUAUCCGCUCGAGCAUUAGCUCUGCUGCUGCUGGCUCGCUUCUGCCUGUGGCCCAAACGGCGCCUCUUUCAACCCGCUAGCUGCAAGCCGCUUCCUCACUCCCGCAUCCGCUGCCUUCGUCCCCGGCCCCAAUCGCCACCGCCACGGCAUCCAGCCAUGGCAGCAGCUACUGGCCAGGGUACCAUCUCGAUGGCCGUCCACAACCACGGCCGCCGCAGCCAGGUCCGCGCCGUCAAAAAUUUGCCUGGGGACAUGGGGGUGGGGUGGGCGGGGUUGGGACGAGUAGCCAUUUGGCAUGCUGCCCAGGGAUUGAGGGCCCUGCCUGUGAUUCUGCACCUCGGAAGCUCAACGUCAAGCAUAAGUAAGCACCCUAGCAAUACAUCUACUAAACCUGUUCGCACAGUAACAUUGUUCUGAAACAACGCCGAACGAUAUAUGGCUACGCUGAGCUGGGGGGGGCAUUGAUGCAGCCGCGUUGCAGUCCCUCCCUUACAACGUCCGCCCCCCCCCCCACAACCCACCCCACAACCUCACUACAUCAUCACCUUCAACCUCGGCCAACCCCAUAAUGAGCUCCCCAACACAGACCAUCCACCCACGCACUCGCCUCAUCCACCGAGCGUUGCAUGCGCCCCCCUCCCUUCAUACUUCAUGCGCUCGCCAGAAUCCGCAGCAGCGCAAUGAGGGGCUCCUUGUACGCCUGCAUGUCCUCUGGAACAGGCACGCUGCUCUGCAGCAUCACAAGCACCUGCUGAGGCUCAACAGCAGCGUGGAAGCUCGCAUUGCUUAUGCCCUUGAACGCUCGCACUGCCGCGUAGUCUCUUAAGCUGAGCCCUGAGCGCUGCACCGCGUCGUCCCACGCCUGGCUAACCCAGCUGAAGGCGCGCACGAAAGCCGCGGCGGCGGGGUUAUUGCGGCUUGUCUCCAUAACCCUGAGGGUGCCCAGAGUUGAGAGGACGCCAUCCUUGGUCGCCACCGCUGCGGCAACCUUCGGCUCCAUCGUCUCCGGCAGGACCAGAUUCACGAAGACCAGGUUCUCGAACACAGAAACUUGGUCGCGGUACCUACAGCAUGGAAUCAUUUCAGUGCUGAGACAAGGCUGGCUGAGAUGCAGGCUCCCACAGCGGAGUGCUUACUGGGCAGCAAACGUUGUCGUGUCCUUGAACGCCUGCAGCUUCUCAAUAGCGUCGCCAUACUGGGCCUCAAUCUUGUGACCUAGGUCGAGGCCUGCAGUCUUCGAGGAGCUGGCCAUCUUCCCCGUGGAGGUCCUCAGAACCUCGAUGCCUCAAAGCUGCCGCGAGCGCUUCUGUUGGCCCUUUCCUUACAACAGAAUACGCUCGCGACCUCAAUUAUGUACCCGGGCAGACAUAACCUACUUCCUGGAUUCCGGCAACCGGCGCAGCGACGCAUUGGGUGCAUCCAUCUGCAGCCGCUUACCUGUACGUGCGCUUGCAGGCGCCCGCUGCUCCGCGUGCACCCACGCGCCCCUUGGUGUACAACCUUGUAAGCGACAGCGACGUCGUCAUCACCGGCCAGACGGACAGCGCGGCAGGUGUGUCGCGGGACCUUGCGCGGGACUGUCUUGCGUGGGCUAGUGUCCUGGUGUUGAUGGUGUUGGUGGUAGUGGUGGAAUGGACGGGUUCGUGCGAUUUGAGUAUGGUGCAUGUGCGUGCGCCACGUGUGGCAGCACCAUGGGCAGCGGUGCUGUGUUUCCUGAUGUAUCGACACCCCCAGCCAACUCUGUGGCGCGCAACAUGCAGGGUGUGCCGGCGGUGGGCAAUCCAAGCCAUUCAUGCGCGGCAGCAACAGCCACCACCUCAGCGAGCCCAGCAUGCUGCCUGGGGCGGUGGCGUCAUCUGCAGCCGCGGCAUUUCGCCGUGGCACCAUCGGCGGCAGCACCCCAGCAGCCCCAGCAGCAGCCCAGGAGCAGGCUGAUCACCAGCACCGACCUGCGCAAAGAGGUGCUGUGUGGUGUGUCAACACUGACAGGUGCCGGCCUGGGUGCACAUCCAGUGUGGCGUGGGGCGGCGCGGCGUGGAGGCGGGUCUGGAGGCGGUGCUGGCGCCACCAUCGCGUGGUGGACUGCGCUUCCCGCUCAUAGUGAAGCACCCAGGCGGCUACGGCUCCGUGGGCAUGACCAAGGACUCCAAAGUGCACAACGAGGAGCAGCUUUGGAAGCAGGUGUGAAGGCCCACACUCCACAGGAAAUGCCGGCGAGCCAAGUCGUAUUUGACAUAUUCAAUUGUGCGGGUUCAAGGGCCUGUCGGCCUCCGUUUAUGAGUACUACUGACGUGCGCUUGCAUUCUGUGACAGGUGGCGCGCUUCGUGGGCAGCUUCGGCGGUGCGCUGGUGGAGGAGUUCAUCACAGGCCGCGAGUUCACGGUGCUGGUGGUAGAGGAGCCGGUGGGGCCGGGGCGGCUGGAGGGGGCAAAGGGAGGGAGCUGUGGAAGGACUUGGCGAGAUCAGGCGAACUAGGAUAACACUUCAACAUGCAGGCAAGCAUGCAGGUGGCAAUAGGUACCGUGCGUUAGGGAGUAGUAGCCACCAGGGUACUCACGCGAGCCGACUGGCCUCAACCCUAUCCUGCAGGGGGCUGCCACACGAAUGGACGCGGGCUGCGACACGGACCCGGACCUGACUUCGUUCCGCCCCGUGGCGUACCGUACACACCCGUGGAGUGCGCGUUGGGCCCAAGUGAGGAGGCUGAGGGUAGGAGCUGCAUCAGGAUGUUCUUGGGCUUGGAAGAGCAACGCUGACGGCGGGGAGCAAGCAUUGGCUUAUUGCUGCUGUGUUUUUGUGGUGCCUCGUAACGGCAGGACGGCCAGGUGUUGUUCUGGGUGAUGGUGGGCCUCAGGGUACAUGGUCUCGUCCCAUGCAUCGUGUUUCGCACCCAGCCACGUCAUCCUGACUUGCGCUGCGCUCAUCUAUGUCCUUUGUGUGUUCCUGCACAAGCGAGGACUUCAAGGUGCGACCGUGGCUUGGGUGUUCAUUGUUGCAAGGACUUUGGGUUUGCAUUGGGCCGAAUUCUGUGCGCUGUAUUUACACAACUGGGUCCCUCAUUGCUGUUGAGCAGUAAUACCAGCAACAUCAUUUCCCAUGGCCCCAGCCGCCCCCCCCCCCCCCCGCCCGACCGCCGCGCUCACGCCCCCUCCUGCUGCGCCUGCCGGCCCCGCAUAGCCGCCAGCAGCCGCUGCAGCGCCGGCCAGCGCUGUGCGGGGCAGCCCUGGAUGGACUUGAGCCGCGUGUCAACCUGGAAGCGCAUGUGUGUGUAGAGUGGGGUGUGUGUGUGGGCGAGUAGGGUUGUUUAACCCAAUCCCAACAAAACCAAGACCAACCUGUGUGGGCGUUGGACGUGGGCUGCCAGGGUGUGUGCGGUCCGGCUGGAGGCGUGGCUCCCACCACCGGCCCUAUUCCACCCAAUUCAUCCAAUGUUGACCCAACCCACUCUCUCACCCUCAUCUUCCCCCUCAAACCUGUCCAUCCAACCCUUCCCCUUCCCAGCCGCCCUAUCCACCUGUUCCGCUGCUCGUACCCUGUUCCCACAGCCCUCGUAACCCCUCCUCCACCCACCCCACUCUGCCCACCCUUCCCACCCCCUCACCCUGAGGUAGUCCAGCACGUCCCUGCGGCUGUAGUCCCGCUCCGCCCACAGCGCCCAGCCCGGACCCGACACAGCCUGGCGGGCAGCACCAGCAGGAGGGGGGGGGGUCAUGUGCCCAAUAGGUCCCAGGAGGGGAGGGGGCCGGGGGAACAGGCGGAGGGCAGCAGCGAAGGGGCGGCGCAGGACAGGGCGGGUUGAGUUGUCUCAUAAUUGUGUUCGGGAGCACAGGAAAAGGGGCAGGCGCAGGACAACAUCGGCACUUGCCAUGCGGUCCGACACGCUGUCAUCCCACCUUCACACCCCUACUGCCAUCCGCCCCCCCCCCCCCCCCCCGAUCCUCCCCGCCCCCCACCUUGGUCGCCUCGUAGUCCAGUGAGGGGUCCAUGCUGUAGGCCAGCAGCUCACUGGAGGGGGGAGGGGGGAGGGGGGAGGGGGGAGGGGGGAGAAGGGAGGGGGGAGGGGGGAUUGGAGGGGAAGAGGGAGGGCAUCAGGGAGGUGGGGAGGAUGUGAAAGGUGAGGGACGGGGGCGUUGGGUACUGUUUGUGGCCCCACAUGUCGGUGCCCCCAUGGUAUGCUCUCCCCUCCUCCCUCCUCCGCUCCCGUUCCACGAGGCCCUGCGCACCCUCAUCCCUCAGCCACCGCCCCAAUCAGCUCAGGUCUCGACACGCUACUCGGGUCUCGACGCGAAACCACGCUAGAAUCCCUGACGAAGCGCCUACCCCACACACCCCACCCUCCAUUUCUGAUCACUCUGACCUUCGCGUCCGCAACUCCUAUGGACAAGGGCUAAUGCCUCGCUGAACCUUACUCAAUUCAAUUCCCUUUAUUCAGCGGGGCCUUUGCUCUUAUCCAUAGGAGGUUCAGACGCGAAGGUCAGGGUGAUCAGAAAUGCGAGGCAAACGAGGCGCGCCAUGGCGCCCGAACCGCCGUGUGACCACGCAGAGAGCACAGCCAGGGACGACGUUAAUCAGUACUAGCAGAAGGAAACUCGCAUUGGGUUUGGUUCAGUUUGGGCUGGUAUCUACAACCCCCACCCCGCCUCCCAACUCCUCCCACCCCUCCCCCCUACCUGUACAGGGCCGCCGGCCACCUGCGCACGUGCUCCGCCCGCAGCAGCAGUGAGGCGCAGCAGCUCUUGAAGCGGCCGCGCCGCUGCGCCGCCGUGUCGUGGCGGGCCAGCAGGUCGUGCAGGAGCUGGCGGCGGCAGGGCGUGGUGGGGGUCGGGUGGUGGGGGUGGGGGUGGGAUGGGUUUGACGGAUGUGAGGGGCGGGGAGGGGCGGGGAGGGGCGGGGAGCAAACAUAUGUGGGCGUAACACAAAGGUUGCGGGGGUUGGGAGAUGGAGGAGGAGCCGAAGCUGGGGCCGGCGCCGGGGACCCGUAAUCGCCCAGACCCCCACUUUGCCGGCUGGGAUUGGCUGCAACCAACCCCGCACAGCCCCCCACGCUCUCCUCCUUGCUCUUUUGGAUUGGUUUUGUCUGGGCUAGUACCUACAACCCUCACACACCUGCAGUGUCUCGUCCUUGCUCCUGCGCUGGGUGUCGGGCGGGUACUCGUGGCUGAUGUUCCACAUCUCGGUGGACCUGGGGGCGGAGUGGGCGGGUGGCGGGGUGGGGGGUGGGGGUGGGGGGUGGCGGGAUUUAACUCUGAAGGUGGGUGGAGGGGAGGGGGCAGCACGUUAACGUGUACACUGUAUGUGUUUGUGUUUGUGUGUGUGUGCGUGUGUUUUUAAAAGUUAACGAAAGCCCGCCCAACGACGGCGCCGGAGUGUGUGUGUGUCUGUGAGUGUGUGAGAGUGUGUGAGAGUGUGUGUGCGUGCGUUGACGUCAUGACGUUUGUUGAUGUAUAUGUGAAAUCGGCCCCCCCCCAUUGCGGCUGCUGCCUUGCCUCCCCUGCCCGCCCCACCAGCCCCACCCACCCCCGCCCCACCGGCUGCAGUUUCUCCUUGCAGCGCGACUGUUUCCUUACGGGAUUGGUUCAAAGUUAACCCCCGCCCCACACCCCCUCACAUCCGCCCCCCCCUCUCACCUGUGCGCUGCCCCCGCGUACCGGAUGAGCGCCACCGGGUACUGCGCGCCGCCCGGACCCACCACCUGGCGGUCAGGGGGGUGGGGAGGCAAGGGGGGAGGAAGGGGGGGAGGCAAGGGAGGAGGCAGGGGGGGGGGAGGCAGGGGGGGGGAGCAGGGGGGGGAGACAGGGGGGGGAGUGAUGGAGGGAGUGAUUGGGCAGUAAGUUAAGAGGAUGGAGCAAGGGGAAGCAUCACAGCCCGCCCGCGGGUGCGUUGCGCGGCAGUGGACUGAGAGAGCCGGAGGCGCAGCCGUGCAGCAGUAUACACACACGCCCCGGGCCGAGCAACCGCUCCGCUGACUCCGCCGCCCCGGCAGCAUCUGUGCCAUCUCGCGCGAGGUGGGCUGGACCUGGGUCUUGUUGUGGCUGGGAUUGGUAGCAAUCAUCCCACUAAUACCCCCACCCCACCCCUAUUGCUCUCCCCCACCCACCCGCCCCACCCCACCUGGUUGUCGUAUCGCGGGUCGUACUGGCCAUUGGCGUGCAGGUAGAACUGCCGCUGGCCGGUGGGGGAGCGCCGGUCGGCCUCCGCGGUGGUGCAGUUGGCGGCCUCGGGGCCCUGGGCAGGGGCCGGGGGGGAAGCGUGUGUUGGUGUCGGGGAGCACAGGAGGAGCGUUAGGAACUUACGCACGCGCGCCUAGAUGCGGGGCAGACAUGUAGCUGUAGACGUGUAGCUGUACGUACGUACGCACGUGCGUACGUGCGUGCGUACAUACAGAUGAGUGUGUAUGUGUGUGCGCGUGUGCGGCAAAGAGCGUAACGAAACAACCGUCAAGGCAGUGUAUGCGAUGCAGUGUGUGUAUGCGUGUGUGUUUAGGUGUGCCCGUGUGUGUGCAAGUGUGUGCAUGUGCGGGCGUGGGGCGCGGCGUAAGGCCUGCCCUGCCCAGCCGCCUUCAGCUGCCCGCAGCAGCAGCAGCAGCAGCAGCAGCAGCUGCCUCACGUGCUGCCUGCAGCCCACUCGCCUGGAAGGGGCAUGCCGCCGGGCUGUUGGAGCACAGCAGGGCGGCGCAGCAGCCGCGGGCCCAGGUCUCGGCGCAGCCACUGCUCAGUGUCACCACCAUACCCGCAAACCUGUAGGGGUGUGGUGGGUGGGGGGUCGCUUGCACCAUUCCCGGGGGGGCCGCGCAUGGUGUGGGCGCGGAUGCGAGCGAAGGUGCUGGGUUGGCAUGUGUACGGCCGGGGGCCUACAGCCCCACCCACCCACCAGCACCCAUCCACUAGCACCCACCCACCAGCACUCACCUGGCGAACACGUGCUGCUUCCCCGGCCGCACCGGCCCCCCGCCCGCCCCCGCCCCCGCCCCCGCCGCCAGCUCCGCCCGCUCCAGCAGGCCGCGGUAGUAGCCGCGCGCCCGGCGGUAGAAGGGGCCGCACAGCGAGUGGCGCGAGGCGGGGCCGUGGUCGUGCACUAGCAUCAGAGCCUGGCGCGGGGACAGGGGGGCGUGGGAAGGUGAGCGGGAGGAGUGGGAGGGUGCACACUGCCCGUGAGCACUGCGUGGAGGGUAGCGGAGGCGUGGCCCCAACUUCCCUGUGCCUUUUAGUUCGGUCAGCCACCUAGAAGACAUUGCCAGUACGGCGCUGUCCGUCAGUAGCCCGACUCAGGCUAGCACAAUCAGAAAUACACUGCAGUCAAAACGGUCUCGAGGAAGCGAGCACCCGAACGGUGGCGGCCAUCAACUUCAAGCACCCACCCCCAUACACACACACUGUUCCCUUACGGGACUUGUCCAGAGUUAACCCCCACACCCUCAUCCUCACCCACCCCCUCACCCCCUCACCCCCUCACCCCCUCAUCCCCCCACCUGGGGCAGCUGCUGGUAGUGGGUGACCAGGUGGGUCAGGAACACCGCCGCCUCGCGGCCCUUGUUGGGCAGCAGCGGCAGCACCUGCAGCCGCAUGCCGCACGGCAGCGCCAGGCCCCGGUACAGUGAGGCGGGGUCAGUGCUGCUGCUACUGCCGGUGCUGCUGCUGCUUCUGCCGGGCACCUCUAGGCGGUGGUACACGUACACGUCUGGCGGGGAGAGGUUUGGGGCGGGAGGGCGGGUGGUUGGUUGGGGGCCCCGGGCCCGGGGGCCCCAGCCCGGGGGCCCCGGGCACUGAGGGCAGCUGGGGGCGGCAGCUCGGGAGUAGGGGGCCGAGUGGGCCGAGGGCGGGUGAGCCGGCCUGGUGCGCCACCAUGAAUGCUUUGGAUCCCGGACAUAUCCUGGGCAGAUCCCGUGUGCCUGGUGAUGAUGCGCCGCGGCACCUCCCUAGUACUGCAUGUGAGCACCCACGUCAGCGCCCGCCCCCGCCUCUACAGCUUCAUGGCCGUCCUCCAGGUCGUCCGCGUGGUGUGGCGUGGCGAGGCGUUCAUGUAUGAUUAGAGCGGCGCGGCGUGGCGUGCCUGCCCCCCUGCCCCCUCCCGCCCCUCGCACCCCCCACCCUCACCCGCGUUUGUCAGUCCCAGGUGCCAGAUCCAGGGCAGUAGCUGUUCCGGCUCGGCGUUGAAGGUGGAGACCACCACAUGGAAGGCGCCGAGGGGCAGCGCCGGGGCCUCGCAGCCCCAGAACGGCUCCGCGUCAGGGGCAGCGCUGAGGGCCGCGAGCCCCGCCCCGCCGGCAUCCGCAGCUAGCUCUUGACGUAUUGAGUUGCAGCUGACUAGGUGUAGGAUGCCAAUGACGAGCGAGAGGGGAAGCGCUCCAAGACGCCGACGCAAAGGGCGGGAAGGGGGAGCCCUGGUCUGAGCCCCACCGCUCGUAAAGCCAUAGUCGGCGCUUUCAAACAUGCAAGCCCCCAAUUGGUAUGCAAGUCAGGGUAGACAGUACUUAUGACAUGUUGAGUGCAACAUGCUUGUGACAAAGUGAGGUGAAUUGGCAGUCUUUUCAGCGUAUCUUAUCCAUCAUGUAAAACUAAUGACGCCUUUGCAAGUUUAGGAACACGCAGCGGUGCAGGCACGCAGCUUGCAUCUGGAACUAUGCGUUCGCAUGCUUGUUGUCAGAGCUUGUGUCUUCAUUCUCUUAUUGAGAUAUCAGAAAGAUUCAGAGGUGUCCGCGUUAAGCAGCGGUCGCACGGUUGGGCCUUCCCGCGCAACCACUGUGCAAGCAGUCUCCCAUUUACCAGGCUACUCCUGGGCUUUAGCUCGCAAACGGUUCACGAGGAUGACACAUGGCACAACAUAAGCACAACCCUCCCUAUGACAUGGGACUCGAAAUUGGUUUGCAUGGGUCAGUCGCUUUGGCUCGAGAGCCCUUGCCCAAACAAUCCGGCCCUACUUUUGUGGCAAGUCUGCCUUCAGUUGUUUACAUACGGCGUCUGGAUUGCCAAUUGACGUAGUUUAGCCGCGACCACUUGGGGACCACUCGCCAAACUUGCUGACUAUCCUUCACUCCACAAGCCGCCUCUUACCAGCGCAUUACCUACAUUCUGCCAAGAUGAUGCUUAAAGCUGGAAACCGACCUGUGGCCCUGCGCUCGGGCCGCAGCGCGACUGUGUCUCCAAUCAGUCGCGUUGUGUCCCGUCCCCAGCAGCUGCAGAGGCGCAUAUGCACUGCUGCAGCUGGUCAGAAGGACGCAUUUCCGUCCGGGCCGUAUCCUAUUCCGCCUGGCCCCGUUGGGCACUUCUACCGCGAGACCGAGAAAUGGCCCACCUCUGAGACCGUUAGGCUUCAGCCGCAUGACUUAAACGAGGUAGACUAUGUUGACCUGGUGGUGGCUGGCGCGGGCCCGGCUGGUGUCGCGGUGGCCUCCCGCGUCGCUGCCGCGGGCUUCUCAGUUUGCGUUGUCGACCCCGAGCCGCUGGCCCACUGGCCCAACAACUAUGGUGUCUGGCUCGAUGAGUUCCAGGUGCGCCGGGCGCGCCAGGGGGCCGUUGGUUGUUGAACACGCGUCGGGUGCCAGCGGGCAUGUCAAUCGCAGUCGGCCCCAAAACGCGCCCACCGCUUCGCCGCGCGCACAGUCACGCGGCGCGAAUUAAUAUACUGUUGUGUCACGUUAAACUGAAGCUCCCUCUACCUCUACAACCACCUGUUCGUUGCCACCUGGCCAGGCGAUGGGGCUGGAGGACUGCCUGCACGUCAUCUGGCCCAAGGCCAAGGUCUGGCUCAACAGCGAGGCCGACGGCGAGAAGUGAGCGCUUGCGUGUGUGGGGUUGGGGUGCGGGGACGACAGGGGUGGGGUUUGCGUGUGAGCACCGCGCGCGUGCCUGGCGCGUCUGUAUGUGAGGCGAGGUGGGGAGGCAUGUGGGGUUGUGGGCAGGGAGCUGCGGGGAAUUCAGGGCUGCCGCGGAGGCAGUGUGUGGCAGUCAGCAGCCAGAGCCUGACAGGGGUUGCGGCGGCGGCAGUGGCAGCGGCAGCGGCAGCGGCAGCGGCACCAAUGCGCCACGGACGGUGGCUGGCCGACCCGCCCGUCCGGCAGCGGCUGUCAUGCAGUGGACGCCCCCCACCGCGCCAGGCCAGCGCCACUGCAAGUGCCAGGUCUUCCACGUGCCACGCCUGCCACCUCAGUCUUACACACGCAACACGCACAGUCUCCCAGCUCAGUCGCCACCCACAAACCGCUCUCAGCCGGGCCCCACGCAUGCUCCCCCCCCUCCCUUACGCCUGCCCCACCCACCCUCGCCCCCUCCCUCCUUCCACACCCCCAGGUUCCUGAACCGCCCCUUCGGCCGCGUGGACCGGCCCAAGCUGAAGCGCAUCCUGCUGGAGCGCUGCGUCGCCUCGGGUGGGUGGGUGGGUGGGUGGCCUGGGGCGACUGAGGGUGGGAGGGCGGGCUUAGGGGCUGGCGGGCUGAGGGGUUGGGUGAGUGGGAGGGCGGUGUGUGGCCGUGGGCGGGCGGGCGCAUGUUCGUGUAAAAUGCCAAGUCACACGCACAAAGCUCCCUCUGUCCCCCUCUGCCCCUGCCCCUGACCCCACUCUCAACCUCAUCCCACCGGCCUCGCCCCACCACCCGCCCCCCCGUCUACCAUUUCCUUCACUUAUCAUGUAUGCAACCCCCACGCACGCACGCGCGCACUCAUGUAGGCGUGACGUUCCUUGACGCCAAGGUGUCGGGCGUGAGUCACGGCGGCGGCUGCAGCGCCGUCAAGCUGGCGGACGGCCGCGAGGUGGGGCCGGGGGCUGGGGGGGGCGGCUGGCGGAGGUCGUCGGGAUGGGGGGCAUGUGGGACAUUGGGGGUUGUGAUGGAGGGCUGUACUAGGAGUGGCGGCGCCGGGGGUGCGGGGCUGCGGGGAGCUGCCGGACAGGGCCACUGGGCUCCUGGGCUGGCCGUCUGGUCGGCUGGGCCGCAUGCGCCUGGGGUGCACCCGGCCAGAGCUGGGCUCUGCAGGGGGCGUAACAAGUCAGAUGCACACAAGCAUGUGUCUCUCACUCACGUGUUUCACACAAUCGCAGUAACACACACACACACACACACACACACACAUUGUGGCCCCGCCCUGCACAGAUCCGCGGCAGCCUGGUCCUGGACGCCACCGGCCACUCGCGCCGCCUGGUGCAGUACGACAAGAAGUUCGACCCGGGCUUCCAGGGCGCGUACGGCAUUGUGGCGGAGGUGAGGAGUGAGGGGGGGAAGUGAGGGGAAGUGAGGGGAAGUGAGGGGGAGUGAAGGGGUGGAGGCAAAGGGAGGGAUGCUAGGGAGGGGUGGGGGCAGGGGCAGGGGCCUGGCGAUGGGGGCUAGGAUGGGUGGCGUGUACACACGCAGCCUAUGUACAUGCAUCUUCCUGCCCCCACUCCUCUCUCGCCCCCAUCUUUACUCUCCUUACCACCCACCCUCACCCCCCCCCAUGGCAGGUUGAGUCUCACCCGUUUGCGCUGGACACCAUGCUGUUCAUGGACUGGCGCGACGACCACACGCAGGCGCCGGGGCUGGAGGCCAUGCGCGCAGCCAACACCGCGCUGCCCACCUUCCUGUACGCCAUGCCCUUCACCAAGAACCUGGUGAGCUGGAGAUGGGCGGGGGAGUGGGGACGGAAGGGGGAGGGAGGGGACAAGGGAGGGAGGGGUUUGGGGCAAGCGGGUGGGGAAAGCACAUGGGCGCAGGGUGGGAGCAAGCGAGGGAGGGUGGGCGGGAGGGGCAGGGGCGGGGGCCUGGCGAGGGGAGACAAUGUAUGCAGAACGGGCGCGAAAUGACCAGGUGGGAGGCGUCUAGGUGGGGCUGUGGGGGUUGCAGGGCGUGCAGGCGUUUACCCGGCUUCACCCAUGGGUCUGAGGUGUGUUCGGCAUCAUCCCUCGAGCAGUCAUCGCCGUCUGUCUCACACACACGCCGUGUGUCCACCACUGCUCACUUACAGGUGUUCCUGGAGGAGACCAGCCUGGUGUCGCGGCCCGCGGUGGACUUCCCCGAGCUCAAGGACCGCCUGCAGGCGCGGCUGCAGCACCUGGGGAUCAAGGUGGGCGGGGAGGGGUGGGGGGGUGGCAGGGGGUGGGGGGGGGGGGCGUGUGUGGGGGUUGGAGGGGAGGGGGUGGGGGCAGGCGGGGGGCUGGGGGGCUGGGAGGGGGGUCGCGUGGUCCAAACGCGACUAAACCAAGACACGGCCAGCGCAAAGAGCGCGGGGGAGGAGGAUGAGGGAAGUAGGAUGGUAGAGGGAGGGGGUUGCAUUCGUGAGGGAGGGGAAGGGAGCGGGGGUCAGCGCGGCGUCCCUGAAGUGCAGGGGAGGGAAGGGAAUGGCGAUGGGUUGGCGAAAUUGCGUUUUUGGAAGUGGGAGAGGAGGGGCAGAAAAGAGCAGGUCAAUGAAGCUGAGGGGGCCAGGCGGCCUCUGAACCGGUACUGCCUGGCACGCCUGCCCCAACACUCCGCGCCCCUCCCCUCCUCCCACCCCCGCACCCCCUGCACCCCCUCCCAGGUGACCAACGUGCUGGAGGAGGAGUACUGCCUCAUCCCCAUGGGCGGCGUGCUGCCCAAACACCCACAGCGCGUGCUGGCCAUUGGCGGCACAGCCGGUGAGGAGGGAGGGGGGGAGCGGGGGGGGGGGAGGGAGAAGGAGGACGGAGGAAGGGGAAGGAGGGGAAGGAGGAGGACGGAGGAAGGGGGGGAGCGGGGGACUGGAGGGGGAGAGGCGCGCAGUUAUGACAGGAGGCCGUGCAUGGAAGAGGGUGCAAUGGGCGGACGGACCAUCACAGGGGGACAGACAAAGCCGUUCUGCCUGUCAAGUCCAGCACACAGGGACUCUCGCAUACACACACACACACACACACACACACACACACACACACACACACACACACACACACACACACACUGUCUCACCUGCUGUCCCUCCCUCCCCUCUUCCCCCUCUUUCCCCCAGGCAUGGUGCAUCCCUCCACGGGCUUCAUGAUCAGCCGCAUGAUGGGCGCGGCGCCCACGGGUGAGGGGGUCAGGGGGGCAGGGGAGGGGGGACAAGGGCGCGGCGCCCACGGGUGAGGAGGGCAGGGCGGGAGGAGGAGGGGGAGGGGGCGGGGGAGGCAGGGGGACGAAAUGGGAUGCAGGGAGGUGGUAGCCGUUCAUGUGGAGAAAGCGAGUGGGGGCAGGGCAGCAGCGUGUGGGGUGGGGGCCCCGGCGGUGAGGCAUGGUGGGGGAGGGGCUGGUGGGGGAGGGGCAACAGGGACGGCGGCGGUGUGCGGAUGUGCCCCAGGCCGUGGCGUCUCCAGCCACCGCCCGCCCAAACCUGCAAGUCCGAUCCUGCAAACCCAACCCCUUGUGUCAACACCCCUGGCUCACCACGCGCGCCCCUCGCCACCCCUGUGCCCGCCCCGCAGUUGCCGACACCAUUGUGGAUCAGCUCAGUCGCCCCGCCGACAAGGCCAGCGAGUCAGGUGAGUGGGCAGGAGCGGGAGGGGCCCAUGAGAGGGAAGAGGGAGGGAUGAGGGAGGGAUGAGGCAGGACAGCGGGUAGGGCAGGAGCAGCUGCGUGUGCACCAGCCGCACCAGCUCCCAUGCGCCGCGUGUUUGACGGCAUGCAAACUCGCAAAUCACUGUCCUUCUAUCAUGGGCGGCUACACCCCAGCGUGGGCUGGCCGGACGGGUUCUGAGUCUCGGUCGGCUGGGCCUCAAACUGACUGCCUCCCCCUCCUGUCCCCCUCCUCUCCCACCCCUCUCCCACUCCCUGCCCAGGCGCCCCGCUGCGCCCCUCCAGCGAGGCGGAGGCGGAGUCCAUGGCCGCCGCCGUGUGGGCCGCCACCUGGCCGCUGGAGCGCGUGCGGCAGCGCGCCUUCUUCACCUUUGGCAUGGACGUGCUGCUCAAGCUCAACCUGCCGCAGAUCCGGGAGUUCUUCAGGUGGGGGGAGGCGGGGGCAAGGGGACAGGGGGCAAAUACGGGGGCGAAUACGGGGGCAAGUAUGGGGGCAGGUGUGGGGGCAGGUGUGGGAGUGAGCUAGAGUUGAGGAAAUGAAGCGGUCCGCUGUCGUCGCAACGUGCGGACAGCAGGGUCCAGUGGGGGGCGUUAUGGAAGGAGUGGGCACGGGCGGAAGGGAGUCUCCGAGCAGAGCUCUAUGGAGUGUGGCCUCCAUGCGCUCCCCCCCCCCCCACCUCCCCCCCCCCCUCACACCCGCUCACACGCGCGGCCACUCACCCCCCCCCACAGGGCGUUCUUCAGCCUCAGUGACUUCCACUGGCACGGCUUCCUGUCCACACGCCUGUCGCUGCCGCAGGUGCGGGCGGAGGGGAGGGGGGAAGUGGGGGGGGAGGGGAAGGAAAAAUGAGGGUCCGACGGGGAGCGUUGGCGGGCGCCUUGGGGCCACAGGGGUUUGACACGGCCGGGGGCACUGCGCACCACACCACACCUCCUCCCCGACAUCCUGCCUCCCCACCCGUGAUCCCUCCCUCCCCUCCCUCCCGCUCGCUUCCCCGACUCCCCCCGCAGCUGAUUGUGUUUGGCCUGACGCUGUUCUGGAAGAGCUCCAACCAGGCUCGCGCCAGCCUGCUGCAGCUGGGCAUCCCCGGCCUGGUGGUGAUGCUGUCGGGACUGGCGCCCACACUGGGAGGCGGCUACUACCCAGACACAAUGUCGCUCAAGGUGGGAGAAGCGGGGGCGGGGGGAGAGGGGCUGGGAGGGGGCGGGGGGGAGGUAUGCGGGUGGCUGGGCUGCAGGGGCCGGGUAUGGGUUGGUUGGGUGCAGAUGUUGGGGAGGGGCUUGGGGCGGCGCUGUGGGAACCUGGGCGGUGUGUGGGAGAUGGAGAGGUUGACUGCGCCCGCCAACUGCCAUUAACUCAAACCGCGACCGUGCGACACGACACCCCGCCAACUGCCACCACACUAACCCCCUGCCCACCUACCACCACCA